rnacentral:lncRNA from 1 species
CCCAGGUUUUAUUGAAUCCUAUUGAAAGAAAGAAAGUUUACGAGUGUGUCGCCUAGGGGAAAGGAAGUCCAUAAGAUCAAGCAUAGAUAAAGGGAAUGAAUCCAAUAAUAGGGGGCGCAAGUAUAGAGCAAGAAUCAAUAAAGUAACUACAACAAGUAUAGAGCAAGAAUCAAUAAAGUCACUACUAUAAUAUGGGGAAGUCCAGAAUAGAAAGUAUAGAUCGGGUACCUUAUUGUUAUUCUAUGCACUACAUAUAAGGAUUACUUGAAACUCGGUGGGCUCCACUUUACCUACUUGAACACUUUCUAAAUGCAAGCAGGGUUCGGUUCGGGUCACAAAUCUAGUAGUUAUGUAGGUGCCUAUAUGUUUUGUAGUCGUUUUUUAAUGUCCCGUUCGGUUCAGUUGGUUGGUCUAGUGUUUCCUUCCUAUAAGUGUAGGCUGUGGUCAGUACUUCAUGUAGUUUCUAACGGUGCCUAUCAAUAAUAAAGUAGAUCAAAUUCCCCGAUAUCCAAUUCUCAUAUCCAUAUUGCAUGACCUAUAGAUAACAUUCCCCUAUAUCCAAUUCUCAUAUCUAUAUUGCAUGAAAUCAUUCCCAAUAGUCCCCAUGAAUCUAAAUGAGGAGAAUCCCCCUUUCCUUUACCUUAAAGCUGUCACUACUAUUAUUCCUAUGCCUCUUGUCGUGUCGGUAACUUCUUAAUGAGCGGGGCUCUAAACUUCACCUCUAGUUGGCUGGGUCAGACAUUAUAACAUUCAUGAAAUACUUAACAAUCCAUAUAGGGACCGAACUUCUACGACAUUCUAGACUUAUCCGCCCAAUAGACACAUCCAUCUAAUGGAACAAAAGUGACCUGAACCUUGUACAAUAGCAAUAUACACCGAAAUCUCAUAUGAAAUCAAUCAAUGGACAGUUUUCUAAGCGACUCUAACCCCCAAACCAAAGGAAAGCGUCUUUUAUCAAUCUAUUUAUACCUUCCUAUAAUAAUGUGUGAAAAAGACCUUCGCGCGUUCUGCCUUUCUUUCUCGGUCGUCUGUCAAAUAGUUGUGGAUUCCGACCUUCUUUUCUCAAUUACUCUCUAUUUCAUUCCACUUCUUUAAGCGAGUACAUGAAAAGUAUACAUAGCGCGAUACUAGAAUGCUCGAAUGAUAGCAAGGUGCUGAAAGCCUUAAUGAGAGCAGGAAGCGAGUGUAGUAGCAAGCCAGUGGUGAGCGAUCGAAAGCGCCAAAGGUCAGUCUCAUAGGGGCGUGUAUAGCACUUUUCGAUAGGAAGAGAGCGAAGGGCAUAAGAUUUAUUCAAAUGGUUUCGCAAAGGGGUCCAGACUUAGACGAAGGUGCAGUUUCAAAAGCUGGUUUUCUGAUUAUAGGCUUUUAAUUAGAGGGGGAGCGCUUGACUCUCUUUUACACGAGGCGAACCUUUUGGUCUAUCAGCUACUUUACCUCAAAAGCUUGAAGACAUGGUUUCUACUAUAAACAAACCAAACCUUUCUUUUGAUAGCGCUUUUCUGUUAUAGGUAGAGGGAAAGUUCUAGCUUUCUGAAUAAGGCCGGCUUUCCCUAUCCAUUGAAUUGGCCGCUUCGAGAUUGGGCUUAGUCUUAGCUUCACCUAUUCGCUAUUAGAUAGAUAUAGUGGGUCAUAUAGGGAGUCUCCCAAGCCAUUCUUUUCAAUAGUAAUAGUCGUUUCUCAUUUCCAUCUUUUAGUAGUUGAUCAUUUCCAUCUUUCUCCGAUACUUUGACUUUCUUCUUACCUAUAACGCGCAACAAACAUGUAAAGAGAGUCUCGAGGGAGCAGUUAAACAAGGAGAUAUUCUAAGUGGGUCAGCUGUUCUUUGGAGUAGGAAGCUGGUUGGUUACUUUCUUCUAUCUAUUAGAUGUGUGCACUUGACUCAUAUUCCAAUUACUGUCCUGUCCACCAUAUUCCAAUUACUGUCUACGGCAGCUACUGGCCUGUAUGGAAAUUCCAUAGGAACAGCGCAAACAAGUAGAACAAGCUCCGGAACUAACAACAAAACAAGUGAGCGGCAGUAUCAGAGUUCCAGAAGCUUAACCGAUACGAUAAGUACUGAAGUCAAGCAAGGGAAAUCUUUCUAUACUUUAGUCUAGCCUUCCAUGUGCCGAGCCGAUAUUCAGGAUUAGGGAAAGCCAUAAGUGAAUCAGCAGAACAAGCAAGUCGUAGAGUGAAGAGCCCGCAGUAAGAAGAGGGUGUUUCAUCCAAAUAGAUACUCCGGAAUACCAAAUCAAAAGGAACUCGCUUACGCUUAGUGAGUUUACAGUGUUUUGUGACUUUCUGGGGUGCUGGUGCAUUAGCUUACUCUUAUCUUUGGGGCACGUAUUAUUUAGUUCAAUCCGUUUUGUGUGUUAUAAGAAGUUCCAGAGGUGUUAGCGACUUGGACCACCAACGGAUACUCGUGUGAGGGCAUCAAAGGCUUUCUUUUCUUCUGCCCCGACCUAAACAAUAAGUUAUUAUCAGGCUUAUUCAUCAAUUCCUUCUUCAGCGCGGUAUCUUCUAGCUUAGCUUAGUGAAGUCUACUUAUGCUCUUUUCUCUCAACUCCACUAGAUUAGGAUUCUUCCCUGAACGAAACUGGAAUUGCAGCUGACGACUUUCUCUACGACUACACUUGAAACCCUACGUCACUCGUCUACAAGAACUUUCUUUGCAACAGACUUGUUACAACAAGGAAAGCUCUUUAACCCUAUGUCACUUUACAACAAGGAAAGCUCUGUCAAUAAGGAAAUUCAAGUAAGCGUCAGACUCUAAGGGCAAUCAGGCUAUUAUCGGGCUGUCAAUAAGGCAAAUGGAAAGCUCUGUCAACUGUCAAUAAGGCAAUGACAAGUCCCUAUUUCGAAUUCAUUAGUUGUCUGCCAUUACCAAGUCCUGUUUUUUAGAGUUAUAAACGAGUCUUUCUUUUGGGCGGUAGGGCAGCUCUUCCACCACCACUCAAAUGAUAGGGAAAUUCUCAUAUUAACUCAGAAACUGUCCUUGCAAAGCUUUUUGGCCACUAAUCCUAUUCUUUGCGCUCUUCCUAUAGGUGGUGCACCAUCUUAAACAAGCUUAAGGCGCUAAGGUAAAGCCUAGUGAAAGGAAUAGAAUAGCUCCGCUGGUCGAUUAAGAAGAUGGGACAAUCAGUUGAGUGACUUUCUUCUAUAACAGGGGCACCUACAUUCAACAAGUCCCUUUUUCGGCUAACAUGAGCGGGACCGGACCUAUCUAUAGUCAAAGGUGAAAGUGUUAUAACUCACUGCCGCUCAACGAAAACGGAAAUUGUAUGCUCUCUUGCACCACUACUAGGUAAAGUAAGGUCAAACUUGAUAUAUCUCCUCGUAAAGUAAGGUCAAACUUGAUAUAUCUCCUCCCUAAGACUGGAAUUGACUAACAUUCUCCCAAACAAACACCUAGGUUAAUGCAAGUAGCAAGUCCGUAAUUGACAACUAUAAUGGUGCCCAUCUUGAAUCGUAUAUAAUGGUGCCCAUCUUGAAUAGUAUAUGUUGGUGCCCAUCUUGAAUAGUAUAUGUUGGUGCCCAUCUUGAAUAGUAUAUAAUGGUGUCCAUCUUUCUCUCUAAUUUACUACUAUUACUAUGUUGGUUCCUAUCUUGAAUACCGGUAUACCUUUUUGCUAAGUCAUUCUCUUGCUAUAUGAGGUCAGCUUUAGUGUAUGUAUUUGGAUGUUAAUAUUCCAUUCCGUAAUAUGAGUUAGGUACAAGUGUGCUAUUAGUUGUGGAUCAUUUAUGGCAACGAUGGGGUGUGGGCUCGGUGUUAUUAAUUUACGUAUAGUUCGGGUUCCAAUAAGUAAGUGAAAGGCGUGGGGGUCAAUAAGAACUUUGCUAAGGGUGCGUGCGCCUAUACCUAAUGUUUUGAGUGGGUUCAAUAAUAAAGUCGAUUUGGAUAACGGUUCCGAUAUGUGAUUCUAGUUCAGAGCGUGAUCGGGCAAGGGAUUAUUCAUCAUUUCAUAUAUAUAUAGGACUUCUAUUUUAGGGUUCGGUUCAAUCUUUGAUAACAAACAGUGCCUAUCGCUAUUGCCUCAUGUGCGCUUUAACCCUAUCUAUACUCUAACAGGCUGGCUGGCCCUAUCUAUUCUCCCGAUAGGUUAUGUCAAUAAAGUCAGGUACCCUCUUUCUAUUCAAUGCACCUCCUAUUCUUGUUGACAGCUUUACUUUGCUAGCUCGGCUUAGGUUGUUUCUCAAAGAGACUUUAGUUUGGCGCUGCUUGCUCUUCAGCUCGUACUUAAUUGGAAGUCAAUAAUUUCGGUUAGGCUAUGAGGAUCGAUAUAAUCUUAAAGGCGUACGGGAAUUACACUUAGAUGAAGGAAGGUAAAGGAAAGGAGUCUUUUGUAGGAUAACAUAAUCUAAAAGAUACUAUUAGUAGGGAACCAUUACUUCUCUUAUAAUCUUAUUAGUGGGGGUAGGGUACCAUUACUUCUCUUAUAAUCUAUUCGCUAUGGGGAACUAUUCUAAUCUAGACGGUCUGUCAAUAAUCAUAUAGUAUAGAUAAGACGGUCUGUCAAUAAGAAAUAGUAUAGAAAACGCAGCAUACAUUAUGUAUGUUAACCCACGGAGCGGUACCAUUACUUCUCUUAUAUGUGGAAAAUGGAUGACAAUGCUGGAUGGGACUUUCCGUAUAGUAAUAAUAUGGGGCAUUCUCCUAUUCGAGAAAUCUAUCCACACUACACCAACAGGCGGAGCAGCUCCUAGUGCUCUGGCAUUCUCAUCCUCCUGAGAUGGUCUUUCAUAUUAUUGCCCCGCCCUCCCUGUUUCCAAUUAUCAAGCUCCCUUUUUGAAGUCAUUUCUAUCUUGAACGCUUUCUGAACUACGGAUUAUUUUGGGAUUCUUCAGCGGAUUCUGUAACCGCUUUUUCAACCCCUCGGGAAGGACUGUAAGAGAGCAGCCGAUCAGGGCACUAGAUCGUUCUAAAGUCACCUAUGUGUGGAUCUGCUCCUAUAGUCAGUUUACAAUCAUAACCCAACACCCAAAGUCACCUAUGUGCAGAUCUCCUCUGCUCCUAUAGUCAGUUUACAAUCACAACCCAACACCCAGUGCAUUUCUUGCACUUUCGUCUUUGCUUGCCCACUUACCAAUUCCGUUCUUCUUCAAUACAAUAAGAAGAUAGACCAUAUUCCCAUAUAUUCAAUGCUUUCCUUGGCUUUUGAUCUCGUCUCGAGGUUUCCUAUCCUUUGGAUUUCGCGUCCAAGUACGAGCCGGAUUGUGGCAUUAGCCCCCCCUAUUGUGGAAUGGGUUCCAAAUCCGGAUCAAUUCGUUUUUCCUGCUCCAGCUGAGGCUUACUUUCGGGUAAGAGUCAUCAUAGUACCUCCAUCUAUCAAAAUGCCUCUGAAUACUUGAAUCAAUCUCUCUUAAGCACUCUGAGCUGAGGAGUAGCUUCACUCAAAACACCUACUUUACUCAGGAUGUAGAUACGCACGAGCGACUGCCCUCACACGCUCUAAACUAGGAAUCCAUACUUCUCUUUGAUUCUAAUGUCAUUUCUGGGCCUCUUCGCUAAACGGCUUGUUUCAUGUAAGUGUGCACCUGUUCUGUUCCAUAAGUCAGUAACGAAACACCCUUAUGAAGCGCAAAAUACUCUUAUGUAUGGCCAAACUCCAGAAAUGUGGUAAGCUGAUUCCUGGCAACGAGUAUCUUUCUGUUCGCCCUGUUCUACUUUCAAUCCUGAAUCGGACCGGACUAACUAACGCCGGUUGUUUGUUCUUUCGAGCUCACGUUGCUUGUUGAACUAACUAAGGCACUUUCAUUUCCAGUAGAUAAUUCGAAUAGGAAUCGAAUUGUUGUGCACCCAUUAGAGAGGGCACAGUAAGUAACCUAACCUCCGAACGAACUCCACAAGAAGAUCAUUUAGUGCACCUCACCUAGGAGCAGCGCUAAGAAUAAGGUUCUAGUAUCAAGUAGAACAUGCGCUAAAUUACCAUGUCAUCAAUGCGCUAUUAGUACGAGUCAGAAGCGAGUCUUGUUUUCGUUCCUUUCUCAUUACAAUUCCUGUUUUUGGCUCCCGUUAUGAGUAAGUCCUAAUUCUUCCUUUUUUCGUUUUAGGAGCGAGUCUAGAUUGAUAGGUUAAGCGCAAGUCAACUAUACCAGUUAUAGAAUGGGGUAACAAAAGAGAUAGGUGGAGAGUGGUUUGCGGGGUGCUUAGGAGUUAGCUUGUGUGUUGAGUCACAAGAUCCGUUUUAGGUUACUUGUAGGGCAAAGGAGAUCGAAAAAAGGCGAUAAAAGGAUUCUACUAAGCUUGCCUACUUUCUAUGUGCUCGUAGCGAAUGACUAUAAGGCCGGGCUCAAAGGAGUGUCCGUCCUGUGACAACCUUUCUAUACAAUGCCAGUUCCAUAUUCUUUUGUUUCAACUGAUCCUGACUUUUCAUCUACAAAAGCUUCUGGUCUUGCUGAUGGUCUCGUCGACAUUCACUUUGGGCAACCCUCACUUUCGCUAACACACAAGAAACUUGACUUUCCAUUCCUUUACUUCCCGCUUCUUAUCCUGCUGAUGAAACUGCUGAUUAAGAUCUGUCUCUUGAAACGAUAACUCCACUUGAAGACCCGCCCGCCACCAAGUCAAAGUCAAACGGAAUGAUGAAUGGAAAUGGAAUUGAUGCCCUACGCUCCAAUAAGAGAAGUGUUCGCGGUACUUGUUGAAUGGAAAUUGGACUAUCUUGCAUCACCAACUCUGUUAUUCUUAUUUCUUAUAUAUAUAUCUAUAUGAAACUCCCUUAUUUAUUGUUGAUUCUUCGAGACAAACAGCUUCAUAUCGUGCUCUUCUGGUUAUAAUCCUUCUUUUGCUUAGCGAGUCGAUUCCACUCAAAAAGUGCAAUUCCCGGUUGCGCUACUUCUCACUCAACUCUCCCUCUGUGCUUUAAUAAGCAGGGUUCCUAACUCAAUUCAACAAUAUGCAAAUUAGGCGCUUUCAGCACCUUUAUUUACUAUUUCUUGUAUCGGGUCUGUGUCAGGGGUGAAUUCUGAAGUUUGGGAUCGGCCUUUGACUUUUCUCGUUUUCCGUCUUCCAUUUGUUUACUCUCCACGACGCACUCGCUUCAAUUGACUACUUUUACCACUACUCUACAAGGGAAAGCCAGCCAAGUUCAAGCAAAUAACUCAACUCCAAGACUACAAAGGUAAAGAACAAAACUGGAAUUUCCAACUGAUAAGGAUGAAAAAAGGGCUACUAUUGGAUUGGGGUCCUAUCCUAAAGUAGGAACUAAACUAUCUUAGCGCCAACCUAUACAGCUUACUUGAGCCCGCCUCGCACAGAACAAGCUAGAAAUCAUUCCAUUUCUCUAUCUUGCCCCAACUUAUAUAAUAGCUUCCUUUCCUUACUUUUCAUAUUAUUUUCUAUUUGAUUCCGUGGGCCUCCUGUCUGACUUUCUCUAUUUGUUAAUGGGAAGCAAGCGGUGGGGCAUUAGUUGAUCUAUACGAUAGACCCCGGACGUAGCUUAAAGGUGAACCGGGUAACCACAGAACAAAAGGAAGUUAGCAGGGAUUGUAUUCAUCAAACAGAGGUGCUGGUUCGAAUCCAGCUUGUGAUAAUACCUUUCUUUGGUCAUGCUCAAAUAUAGAAUGGAUAUUUACCAGAAAGAUGAUUCGAUGCUUAUUAUAGGAUUAAUUAGAUUAACUGACUCCACACCUAGGAUUAAUUAGAUUAACUGACUCCACCGGCUCCUUCUCAGCCUUAAAGUAUCUGAGCUGAUGAAAUAGCCGUUAUGUAUUCUUUAUUGAUUUUACCACCAGCAGCGGAGAGGAAAGUAACCAAGAAAAUAAGCAGUUUCAAGUCGAGUGAGGGAUGCGCAUACGCCUAUUUGUUCUUUUCGGGAUGCGCUAACGAGAUACGAGUUCCGAGUUACUGACUAAGUAGGCUAAGCUAACAGGAGUGGAUCUGGAGUAGCUUGGCUUGGAUCCUUAACAUUCCUAAUUGUAGGACUGUGUAAGUCAGCUCAAAGAGGGAGUGUCAUCGGUCUCUUCUCUUGUUCUAGUCCCUUCGCUUCGGUCUUUAAACAAGGGAUAGUUAUCCUCCAAAGCAAAUAUACAAUCAUUGAGGAAUGACACUAGGAUCUCCUCUCUUGUUCUAGUCGCCUUUGGUCUUUAAACAAGGGAUAGUUAUCCUCCAAAGAUACACUCAUUGAGGAAUAUACUAGGAUCUAAUACUUGGCUAUCUCCUAAUUGGCUAUCUCCUACUGUCUAUCUAAUACUUGUCCAUCUCCUAUCCUAAUGGGCGGCUAUUUCCUACUGUCUAUCUCCUACUGUCUAUCUUAUACUGUCUAUCUCCUACUAGCAAUAUAGUCGUAGCUUUUCGUGUGCUGUGUUAUUUGAUGAAGUCAGACUUGUUGGUAUUUGAGAGCACUCUUACUGAGUGUACCAAGGCGGUGAUUGUACAGUAUAGUGGCCUUCGACUCGAUUUUGACACAGCUUGCUUCGAUAGUGUAAGGGGCAUGCAUCUAGUUCAUAAGCAAGCAAGGGUUUACUAUGUUUCAGCUUGCUUGUAGUGAUCUAUGCAACUAAAUAGAGAAGUCUCCGAUCGUAGCGAGAUAAGCCAAUAGCCCUUCCUUCAUUGCGGGCGUGUCCCCGCGGAAUCCUAGUCUAAGGCAGCGAAAACAGUAGGAUGGUUUUGAAUCGAGCCUCCACUGGCGAAUGGUGUAUACGGAACGAAGUAGCAGAGACUCAGGUGCCCCCGGCCUCCAAGGCAUGAAGCUCUGACUCAGCUAUCCAAGUAGAGGCAGUAAGGAGUAGAGUCCUAGAGAAUAUGCUAUAUCCAAUAGGACACACGCUCCACGAUGAUAUGAGAUAGCGAGCUAACUAGGGUUCAACUACUCUUAGUAAGAAGACCUAACAUAUUGAUAUUCGAAUAUUUCCUCCGGUAGCUAGCAUAGUAGGGUAUGUGUUAAUUAAUGUCAGUGUGUGUUGUGACGGGCCCGGGGAAAAGAAAAGGAAGUAUUGCUAUGGCUGGUGGCAAUGAAAUGGCAUUUGAGGGGCGAUAGAGAAGCAUGGCCUAAUAAUGCAGAAGGGUCCAAACAUGAUUGGCAAGUCCCCCUGCCUGAGAAAACUCUAGCUCAUAAGUCAUGGUCGGCCACUGGUUCUGUCAGAGCUGCGUAAUCUCGCUUACCUAUAGGGUUCAUCCACAAAUAGAAACUCUGAUCUCCCUACGUUCGCUCCGCCCCCCACCUUACAUCUUCUUACCCCGCACCAAAGGUCUUUAUCCUGUUGUAGCCGAUAUCUCAUGUAAUAUCCUAGCUCCGCUCCUGGCUUCGGGUCGAGCGUAAGCCCUCUCUUUCAUUCGUGAACAAUGCCGAACAUUGCUUUAAGAACUCCGCUAGGCAUUAGAGAUUUGAGGCACCAGCUUCUCUUCUACUUGCUUAUUGAUCCGAACCCAACACUUUAGAAGGAAAGAGGCAGACUGCUUACUCUCUUGGGGCUAAGGCAAACUUAUAACGCACCCCGAAAGCGAACAUUAGCACAAUAGUUCUGUUGCUUCCUUUCUUUCUAGGUGACUUUCUACGAGAUACUUGACUUAGAGCUGUGGGGCCAGUGUUACUUACAAUACUGCAUGCUGCCCAAUUCACAUAAGCACCCCUUGCCAAGCUACUACGGAAGGUAUAAAACUCAGGAUCCAAAGUCUAGUUCUCCGAUAACUAAACAUAUAAGUAUUUGGAAUAGUUACUUGGCCAGUGUUUUCUCUUGAUUUCUUCUAUUCUAUUUCCAGUAGCUGUAGUAUUCUAUUCUAUUUCCAGGAGUCAGUAUCUUUUUGUGAUUCUCUUCUAUUUAUUCUCUUCUUUUUCUAGUUUCAUAUGCCUAACCUCUUUUUGUCUUGCUCCAUUGAUUCCUUUGAUAGCUUUCGGGAAUUCUCCACUACAUCUAGACUUCCAUUUCUCCCCCACGUUUCAAUCUGUACCUUUCAAACCAAACCCUGGACUUAUUGAUUUUGAUCCCACUCACGUUCGUUUGCGCUGCGCCGCUGGGCUCACUAGACCUGAGGAUCUUCAAGAGAGAGAGAGAGGAUGCCGGCUUUGCUUACUCAACUCUUCUUUUCUAGUCAUACUUGAACUCUGGCUUCAGGCGGUGGCCCAGACGUAAUGGAGAUUAUCUCUGAAUAAAGGGUACUAAAGCAAUGAAUGCACGGAGUAGAAUAAGGGAGUCGAUUAGCAAUGAAUGCACGGAGUAGAAUAAGGGAGUCGAUUCUCGAACGAAGAAAGAAAAGGAUACAUGUGUUUGUUUUGUUGACUUCGAAAGAAUUGAACGAGAUGGAAGAGCCGUAUAAGGUGAGGCACGCCCUUCUUCCUCAUGUGAGUAAGUCUAACUCGCACAUCGGUCAAAGCGAUGUCAUCGUUGUGGUAUCUGCUUGUUCCUUCUUCUGAUACAUAGCCCGCUCAUUCUUCUUCUCGAGUCGACUUUCAUUGCUGCUCCGCUGACUCCUUACUUGAAGCUCAAGCUAACUGACUCAACAAGGAAGCAAAGCCAUGAGGAUAGAUAGUUUGGUUACUAUACUUAUACAAUGUGUGAGUUCAACUCUUUUCAACAGGUAACGGCGCUAGUGAGUUAAGUCAGUCUUGAUACAAUGCUCCAUUUUUCAUAUCUGAGUGGAUAGCUGGAUUCAAUAAAAUAAGUGAGGGCAGGGCGUUCCGCUAAGGCUUACUUUAUUUGGUGCUUACAUUCAUUCUUUCGCACAACAUCUUGCUAAACAAGAGCACCUGAAACAAUACUCGAAACUGCUCCAUCUGUGGCUGGGCUUCUGCGCUAAAAGAAGAAAUCACUUGUUCUGUCCUAUUGACUAAUAAUAUAAUAUACGAGAACCUAUGUGACUCGAAAGAAGCCUAUUCUUCCGCCUCUACCUUAUGUAGAACUCAUUAAUAAUAUAUCAGGCAAACUACUUAUAUAAGACUCAUUUGUUCCCUUUCACUCUAAUACAAGGAAAGAGCCCCCCUAUCUCUUAUAUUUCAUGAAAAUAGACUCUCAAUUCAGUACUUGGAAAUAGCUACCCGUAACUUAGGACUUGGAAAUAGCUACCCAAAGAAAAUACACUUGAGAAUAGAACACCAGAUACCACGCCCCUAACUAUAGUCAAAAGCGUUAGCGCCACAGCUUGUUGAAUUGAUACUGCCUCCCUCCAGCUUAUUCAGUAAUGUGAGCUUUGUAAGGAGUGUCGUUUUUCAUUCUAUAUUCGUUACGCUAGAUUAAUUCCGCAGUCUAGAUUCAUUCCUAUGUGUAUAGUAAGUAUCACUGGCCCACUUAUUGUUAAUUGUUGUGUUGCUGCGCUUAUAGUAAGUAUCACUGGAUUGUUGUGUUGCUGCGCUUAUAGUAAGUAUCACUGGCCCACUUAUUGUUAAUUAUUGUUAAUGUUUGCUCAAGCAGUAGAAAGUAGAGUAUCUCGCAGCUCGAAGUAAAGUAGAUAGUGUAAAGUUGCAAGACCAAACUGAUCCCCUACUAUACUUGCUCCAAGCAAAGAAGUACUACUAACGGAAAUGAGAUUAUGUUCUGUGCAGUAAGCAGUGCUGUCUUACCCGACCCUCUUUCUUCUAUAAUCGAAUGUGUCCCCACCCUAACCCUAAGAUCAGGAGUUAUGUUACUAUGCUUCUAUCAGUGGUGUCUCAUAUAAUCAAUGAAUGGUUGACUUCGGCCCUACUUUACUUAGGUGCUCAAGCAGUAGAAAGUCAAGUCUAUCGUAAGGAGUUCUCUCAAGCAGUCUAAGGUAACGGUAUCAAUCAAUUAGUUGCUCAAGCAGUAGAAAGUGUAGUUGCUCAAGCAGUAGAAAGUGUAUUUUCCAGAGGGGAGUAUAUUGAUUGUCCAUUUGAAGUCAUGUUCUAAUAUUGGAAGUUAUGUUAUUAUUUGGCACUAUAUUCUAUUCAUUAGGGAAUUUACACUAUAUUCUAUUCAUUAGGGAAUUGGGUUCAAGCUUUCCCCAGCCCCUUUUCAUCAAUGGACUCCUAAAUCAAUCAAUAGUAUACGAAGCAGUGGUUGGUUACUAUUAUAAGAUGUCAAUACUUCUCAAUAUACAAUUAUUAUAGAAGAUGUCAAUACUUUGCUUAGUCAAUAAAUCCAUAUUUGAGAGCGUUUUUACACAUAAGGAAAUAAAGUCACACACGAUAUAAUCAUUAUCUAACCAAACUCACUUAUUACUCUAAAGAAGAGAAUGGUUGUUAGUACCCCGCCUCUUAAGAAUAGAAUGGUUAGUACCGGUACCAAUAUCACCUAUCUACCAGAAUGUCGGCACCCAAAGCAAAGCAAAGAGACUCCACUAGGACUUCACCGGUACCAAUAGAACCUACCUACCGUCGUCACCCAAAGCAACUAGGACUUCUAAUUUGACUGAUGGAGGAGAUGCCUUUUCUCUAAUUCAUAUGAUGGAACCCACUUAUUUCUAUAUAGCAUAAGGAGAAGAAUUGACGAGCGAAAUCAAGUAGAUAGAGCCUACGAGAGAUUCUGUACUUCCUGUUGAGAGAGCUAGUAAACAAGUCAACUCGUAACUACUAUUCUUUAAUGAAUUCUAUGUGCGCUACUAUGCUUUAAGAGAUCUAGAUUCUAUUAGAUGUGGAUUGCGGGCUACUAUGCUUUAAUGGAAUCCAUUCUAUGUGCGCUACAAUUCAGAAAUCAAUAGAUCCAGUUGUGUCUACUUGUGGUGUGCAUGACCCGAACGACCACCUGAUGGGCAAGUGCUUUCAUGAAUGAAUGUGUUAAACCAAUCAAUCUUUUCGUUACAUAUCAGGAAACCUGCCCCAGCUAACUCGAUUUCCCUAAUAAAAGAGAGAGAGGGCGUUCCAUAUGGAGCUCCUGAAGAAAGGACGAUGAUACCUUUGGUAGGCAUUGGGGGUAUCCUGGAUGAUACCUUUCCUAUUUCGUUGGAAGUAAUCAGGAAGAUUCCUCUUUUUAUAUGCCUACAUGACCGCCGAUCGUGGGAAGAUGGAAAUCCCAACUAGAGUCGCCUUGCCGAUAAAAUGCUAUUGGAUACCAUAUGUGUCGAGAUUCCGUUUGGGUCUACUCUCACUUUCCGCUGACGCCCCUUAACGCCAUUCAUUUUUUCAUCGUAAAUACCCUGCGAAACCUAAACUACGUAACAGGGCUGAUAUAUGUAAUACUAUGUUCCUUUUUCAAUCCAAAGUCGUGGUUAUCAAACUCUUCAUCGAAUGAAAAGUGAUCACACUCGGAUAGCAUUUACCGUGAAAGGGCUAAGACUUUAGGAGGGGGCCCCGCAACAAGGAAUGUAAAAAAACUACCAACUCGGGGGAACUUCCAAAGUAUUCCUUGCUGGCAAAGAGAUAAGGCUGCUAACAUAACAGAUCAAAGCCUAUAUCCGUUGAACAUUGCUUUAAAUAAAUGAAGCCGGCUCUAGCCCUGGACCAUAUGGAUUACUUCACCCGUACCUGAGUCAGAGGUAUUUCGAAUUUAGAGACAGACACACUUUCUUGCGAUCAAAUAUCUAAUAGAACUUGAACCCACUUAUAGUAGAUCCCCAUACAUUUGCCUUACACUGGCUUACAACAGGGAGGAACUGGCCAAUAGAGCUCACUCCUAUGGACUUAUCAUAAUUUCUACUUUCCAAGUCUCUCCCACGCGUAGAUCCAAAGGGGAAGAAAGCCAGGGAAUAGUCUAACUUCCUUAACCAGAGAUUCGAUUAUUCCGCCAGACUGCUUGGACCUAGAAUCUCCUUUUUGUUGACCUAUCCCUACUUUGGAAAGAGAAAGAUAUGACCGGCCCCACCAAUCACCUAUGUAUAGCCUACAACUCUUAGACUAGCUUUAGCCUACCACUCUUAGACUAGCUUGGAAAGACUCCUUCCUUCAAAAGUCACUCGCUUUAUUACUGGAUAGAAGCAAAAAGGAGCAGAACCGGAUGAAAGCACAGCACAUGGACCUAGCUUGCAGGAAAAAGAUGGAACGGAAAUUGGCUCGAAGAAGACCUCUUUCGAUCGAAUCUGUAUCUGGAUAGGCAGGCUAGAGGGAUUCUAUGGUUUUUUAGACUCAAGGAUAUUUCCAAAUACAAUAUCUUAGCAGCUUUCAAAAAGCACUUUAUUACAAAAACAAUAGCGAGACGGAGACAGUUGGUCUAGAGACUACCUUAUUUCUGAAAUGGAAAGAAUAGGAAUUAGCAAUUCCAUUGGGUAGGCAGCUUCUCAGAGGACUCAAACUGGCUGGGCAAAGUGUAGGAUUGAAAUGGAAACUAGAUAGAUGGGCUUGGAAUUGAAACUCCAACGCGCUCACCCGGAUAAGAGAAAAGAAAAGGCCUGGGAAUUAGCGCGGAAAGUCCGGAGGCUUCACUUCUCCCCAUGGAUAUAGCGGGAAACGACAACUUUACAAAGCUGUAAAAGAAGCUUGCAACGGCUCGCAAGGACCAAAAGCAAACGGAACUAUAACUUGAAUUGCAUCUAUCAAAAAGGAUGGGCCCGCAAGAGAACUAAAAGAACCUGGCGGGGAACUUGAAAUAGCUAACGAAUGAAGAGAGAAAGAUAGAGGAGAGCUUAGUUACUGCAUUGUAUGUAAACGUAUUUACGGAAAGUCCUGUAUCAGAGAACGGGCCACGCAGACAAGACGGCGCCAAGUCGACAAGCAACAACAAGAGUCCGCCUUGGCCUUAGCGCUUCCAAGCCUGUAAGAGAAUCUUCCCUUACCUUAGCAGCAACGCCAGUACCUAAUCCCUCACCUGCUCGGGCAAUAAAGGACUCCAAAUCUGGGUUAACGAAGAGCGGUCAAGUAUCUCGGAACAGAGGGAGGCUCAAGCUAGAUGCUCCGGAGUUUUCGUAGCAUUAAGGGAAAGGACAAGAUCCGAUGAAGCAACAAGCGGUGGUGCCAGAGAACAAGAUAAGAGUUUUAGGGGUUCGUUUUUCUAGAAUUGUUGUAAUCAUAAGCACUUAGAUGCAACAAGUAGAGUCGGAACGGAAAGAAAAGAUUGGAAUUGGAAUGGUUCGCCACUUAACCAAAAGAAGCUUCCGCCGUUGCUAUAAGAAAAGAAUAGUGAAUCAGAGAGAAGCAUAGUUACUACACUGCUGACUUAAAAGUAAGGGUUAGCUAAGUGGGAAAUGAGUGGAAAGAGAAGAGCGGGAUCAAUCAGGUAAGCGUCGCGGGACGGGAAAGAAAUAAGCUCUAUAUUAACCCCGAGAAAGUUAGUAGCUGGCUCACUAACGCUGAUUUGGAGUAACUCGCUAACGGAGCCCUAAACAAGUAUACUAUAGGAUUGUGAAUCUCAUGCUCAUGUACGCUCUGCUGCUACAUCUCAUGCAUCCUCUGCUAUUACAUCUCAUGCACCUUCUAUUUCUUUCUAUAUCUAUUCCAAAGGGGUGUCUUAAGUGUUACAGUCAGAAGUCACUCCUCUUUCUUUCUCGCUUCCGAAGCCCAUAAUCCUACAAGGCAAUCAGUGACGUGUCUUAGUUUCGAAGUUUCUCAGUCAAGGGAAAUACUUUCUGCUCGAAGUAUCGAAGUAAAGUCCCUUCUUUAUGCACAUACAUAUACAUAGCCAGACACAAAGGUGUACAAUCCGGUGAAAUUAGACUUGAAGUGUUCAGUAACUAUAGGUUCUAUUACUUGCUCUAGUGACCGGGCCAACCGAUAGGGGAGAACGAAUGGCUCAGGAAUCGACUGGUUCCGAGUAGACUCGUGGAGCUACACAGCUUGGAUUAUUUUCGAAUAUAUAUAAUAAGAGGAGCCGAGCUAAAUGACUUAAAAGAAAAGAGCCGCUGCGAGGCGAGGGGGGGCGUAGAGAGGUCGGUGCACUCACUCCCGUUACGAGAAUGAAAUGACGCGCCACGAGCACUUACAACUCGCACGAAUAGCGCCACUUAGUGGCCGGAGAUGGAUUGAAAAGGAAGCCCACCCCCCUUUUUGGAUUGUGAGAAAGAGCACACAGGACCUUACCCACUAAUCAUCAUCUCAUCUUAGCGAAGCAUAAAACAAACCCACUAAUCAUCAUCUCAUCUUAGCGAAGCAUAAAGAAGCUCCCCCCGCCUACCUACUCGUGUUCGUAGCUCGAUCGGAGGUCAAGAGUGUGGCGGAAAAAAAGAGGUAGUCCGUAUCAAGUGAGACGUGAAUUGCUCAGUAGUGCUUCGCCACUGGACGUUGACCCGCAGGCGGAAAUAGCUUAAUGGUAGAGAUAGCCUUGCCAAGGCAGAGGUUUAGGGUGAAAUUCCCUCCUUCCGUUCCUGGCUUCGUCCUUUAGUGGUAUAGAGUUGAGUGCAUAAGCCCCUUUCUACAAACCUUUAUAUAAUAUAAGGGAAACUCGAAGAGCUUUCUUCGCAUGCUCCUGCAGUACGAGCCUCAUAGCCGCGCUUUAAUAUGAUGAGAAGAAGAGGGGCUCCUUAUAUUCCGAGAAGAAGAGGGGCUCUUUCUAUUCCGCGAAAAUCCUUAUUUACAUCUUAUGGGGGGUGUAUAGCUCAGUUGGUAGAGCAUUGGGCUUUUAACCUAAUGGUCGCAGGUUCAAGUCCUGCUAUACCCAAACCUACCUUACACUAUACAAUGAGUAUGAGUAAGGAUGCGUUCAAAGAGAACUCUUUUGCCUUUGGACUCGCUUCGGCGACUUCGCCCUUUCAGUGACAAGGGUUGUGAGGUAAGGAGUAGUUCCAAGAGUGGCUCGGUCAUCGAUAGGCCCAUCCUUAUUAAUUCUCUCUAUAGGGCAGGCGCUCCCUACCUCUCGCAUUUACUUAUCUUCAUUCUUUUUUCGCCAAGGUAGGUGAUCGGCCUUACUUUUCUAGAAGGAGUGGAGUAUCUUCCAGUAACGGCGAACAGGGGUCCCGCCUGGAUUUCCUUUUUCGUUUAUUUUCUUAUUUCCUCGAAUAUGGAACUUUCGCCCUCCUCCUUGGUGCUCCGCCAUGGUUCCAGCAUGUGAUUAGUGAUUAACUCCAUUGCUUCAUCACCUGAUAGACACCUAAACAGAAUUCCCGGUAUGCCUCUUUUGAAUAGCUUACCAUCAUGCACUAUAUACCUUUUGACCAUCUUCUUGAGAAAGUGCCUUUUGUCCGAUACUCAAUAGAUAUUAUGGCUGUCUCCAAUCCACUAAUGGAUAAAGGAACAUUCUGAUCAAUCGGGGGCAUCCAUGUGCACUGAUUGCUUUAGUUCUUGAAUCACAGCAUGUCUCCCAUCUCCUUCUUUAAUGACAUCUGAAUAUAGCUUAUCGUGAAAGUUCCAUGUAGCUGAGCAGGAGUUCGUCGCUUGCGGAUCUUCUCAUUAUCUUCGCACUUUUCUCUUUGAAGCUAGAGUUGCCAAAGAAUCCGGUAUAUAUGCACAAACUUUCCCUUUCUCGCUUUUGGAGUUCCCAAUUCUAUGUAAAAUUCUGACAGCUGUAACAACCAUUGCGCUGUCCUUCCCGAUGGGGCUGGCCUUGACAGCAAGUACCUUAUCUGAUUAGCCCCCACAACCAACUUUCUCUUGUGCACCAGCAUAUAAUGUCUGAACUUUCUUUUGGGCUGCAUAUACUCAAAAGAUGUAAGCGCUUUUUUCUCUGCUUUAGUGUAUCUCGCUUCCGCUUCUUUGAGAAUUAUACUAGCAUAGUCGAUUGUUGGCUUUUCUUAACCAUUUUGAUCAUCCUGUGCUAGCACUCUAUUCCGAUAAGCAUUAUCAUUGAAAUGAAAACAAGAUAUAGCGUAAAGUGCCUUACCAGCUAUUGGAGCCAUCAUCACUGGGGCGUUCGCUAAGGUCUCCUGUCUUUUGGAAAAGGCUUGCGGACAAGUAGCAGAAUCUUGUCAAUAUGCCUCUUACCAUUUGGACUCUACCUUUUUCUCUUUGGCAAUUCAAUAAGAGGGGCGGAACAGAAAAGGCAGCUAACCGCGUUGUGAUGAAAUCAAUGUUUGCCUUCAAGCGUUAAGUAUUGCCCACUUAUGGUUAAUAGCAAGUUGAGUAUAGAAUUGAUUGGUAAUUAGACAGAGGCAGAGCAGACUAAGCACUAUAAGGACAGAGGCAGUCUAAAGGGGCUGGCUUAUGCACUCCACUCGUUACCACUAGCAGCAUAGACACCGUUAUCAAGGACAGAGGCAGUGGCAUAGACACCGUUAUCCAAGUGAAAAGCAUAGAAAGAGACAGCAGACAAGCAUCUCCUCAAUCAGUUCCGUAAUAUCUAUUUCUUGGAUUUCUCUAUUAUGAGUUAAGUAAUAAGUGAGUUUAGUGUUUGUUUACUUAUAGAUAUAAGUGUGUGUCAUCAACGGAAUUUCUUAUGGUUGUGUUUAUUACAUUGCUUGUUGACUUUCAUUACUCAUAUCGGCAUAAUAAUCCUAUACGAUAAGUACAUAGGCAUAGGUACCGUUAUCUAUAUUAUAUGAGACCGACUGAACUUCCCGUGUAGUGACAGCUUCUUACUAUUCUACUAUAUACUUAAUUGGACUAUUCUACUAUAUACUUAAUGGAGCUCCCGAUAAACAGUUUCGUUUAACUAGACUAGAUGAUUCUUCUUGCUACAACAGUUGGACCUGUAGCGCCAGUAAGAUAAUAUUUCUUCCCGCACCACACCGAAGCAGUUCCUUGUAAGAUCCAGCAGGUAGAAAAAAGAAUACUACUUUCAAUCAGGUUCCCCACAGUAGAAAGUAUGUCCUCAAGAUGCAUCGACUGAUACUAUGAUUGUCGGAGAGGUAUUGUCUUAAUCAAAGCAUUGAUUGUGUUCACCACUCUCCUUUCUUUGACGGCGGGUUUCAGGGCACUACCAAGCAUUAGCCCAAGAGAAGCGAUAUCGCAAACAAACUUAUAGCAUUUCCGGGCGAGGGCAACCACACUCUUCGUUUCUAGAAAUGGGGAACAGCAUCGCUUGAUUAAAGGAGUUAGAAUAGAAUAGGUCUAGAGAUCUGUGCCACUUUCUGGUCUGUCUGUUCCUCUGUAUCAAGCCCGUAGCCGUGCAGCCUGAAGCCUGUCUAAUCUUCUCUUUCUCGCAAGCUUCAAAGAUUCGAAAAGGAACUAAAUUGACUGAUUGAAUGGUGGAAUGGACAUCCCAUGUCUUCUUGAUCAAAGUAUGUUGUCAGAAGAAUUGAGACUUUCUCAGUGGCAUAAGCCGAAGUAGAAGCAUUAGCGUACCCAACGUACAAGACGGAUGCCGAGGCAAGAAACCCCGAAAACGCUAUUCCUGAAGGAAAUGUGCCUUCCACCUUUAGAUACCAGGAAAGGGUAGACGAAAGAAAGAAGGUAUCAGGGAGUGUGAAGACAUCGGUUGAAGCGCUUCGUUUACAGACGAAAUAAGUUGCAAGCAAGACUACGGGACUAAAGAAUAGAAUCCAUUUCUCUUUAUCACAUCACGGGGCUUGUCUAUCGAUCUUAGUCUUAGAUAAAUGGGUGGUAGCCACUACGUCAAGAGCAAAUCUCUAAUCUAUAGAGAUGUAGAAAGAGAAGAUUGCCUUUUCCUCGGUGAGUUGAAGGGACUCCUUCGUUGAAACCAGACCUCCACUUUUCUCUUUAGAAACAAGUAGCACUUUACAGAUAUAGAGUUUUCAGAUCUUAUUUGUAUUAAUGAGCUUACUAGUAUAUUAAUAGUGAUCUUGUAGGAGUGUGAGUUAUUAUAUUCCUUGUAUUCCUAUUAGGUUAUUAUAUUCCUUUGUAUUCCUAUUGCAGCUGAUUUGCGUAUACGAGGUUUAGUUUGAUUCUUUUCUUUUGCUCUGGACGAAGCAAUUCUAUAUGAUUUCCUUUUGCGCCAGUAAAACCCCAUGAUGAGCCUAGUUCACGCUCCACCAGAUGUGAGACUUGUCGACGAGUCUAGUAUACGCUUGGUUGCUCCUCUAAGAAGGGAGUUACGUUACCGCCUAUAACUGAUGCUAUAUAUCUAUCCAGAAAGAAGGAAUGCACCCAAACCUCUACACCUAUAAACUCUCUACUUCGAUUUAAGAACCGAAAUAAGGAAGUAUCACCUUAACCUGAACCUCAGGAAACUUAUACUUAAACAUUCGAAUCUAUUCUAUUCUAUUUGCUACAGCGGGACAAGAAAGACAUUCUCUAAGACAACACCUAACUCGACUAGAUUCUUUCCUUCAAAGCGAAAACAAGUACUAUCUUAUUACCGGAAUCCAACAAGUUGCGGAUCAGUGUAUUUACACUUUACCUAGUGCCUUCGAUACGAAAGAUUUCAUUAAAGAUUAGUUGACUCGGUCCGGUCCUCGGCGCAAGGCAAGACUCAGUGCGUUAGGAUCAGUGAGCAGCUCAAUUCCCAUUAUAUAUGAGGUGCACCAGAGAUGGAUUCAAUUCAAACUUGAGAGUUUCGGUCGGGCAAGACGAACAAAGUAACAGGGCGAGGGCAGUAAAGCAAGGGUUUUGAGGUCGUUAGUUUCAGUUUGAAAGUCAGGCAAUAGGGUUUGGGCUACUGCUGAAUAUAAGGGCCCUUGUAUACUCUUAUGAUUCUUCCUUAUCCGAAAAAGUAGUAGAGCAACUGAAGUAGCAAAGCAAGAAUCGGAAAUCACAAAUAUAGUAUAUGUUAGUACGUUGCCAUGAACAAGUCCUGUAUUCAUCUGUCCGGGCCGGGGUAGCCAAUGCCCCUUGGGUAGCAAGUAGUGGUCAAGUUUCAGAAGAGAUGACUGACUCUAAGGUCUAUAGGUAACCAACCCUAGGCAUUAUAUCAAUAGGUAACUCUAAGACUAGGAUUCCACUGGGGAUGAAACUAUAACAAUUAUAAAGAUAGAAUGAAUUCAUAUUGAUUUCUUAUACAUAGCAGUCCGGGUAGGGAACUAAGGUAUUCUUGCCAGCCAACACUCUCACCUCCCUCUCGCACAGGAAUGGAAUAGAAAACUCUCUGCCACCUGAUCGGUCUGUAACAAAGCAAGACUCCCUUACAUUACCCAUUAGGAAAGAGAUUCAUUCCUCUAACGGAAAUCGAUUCAUGAUGGCGACUCCCUACUCUGAUAAUUCCUACAGCUGUAGCGAGCUCCAACCAACUGCUUCUGUCGUUCUGUGCCGAACCACACGAGAUAGAGAAAGAAUGCAAAGGUAAGAUGUCACGUCACCACAUUAUUGACUGCUCGAUUAGUAACAUAUUCUAUAAUUUAUGAAAAACAGAGCCAAUACAGAAUGAAAUCCCCUCUUUCCUUUUCCUACUCGCUUGUGAUAAGGACAGAAAGGGGUCAAGUAAAAGUAUAAGGAAGCACUCAGAAAGUGGCAGUCCGCAGGAAGAACUUAUGGUACUUAGUUCAGGUUUAUUGACCUUUAUUUGUCUCCGUUAGCGUUUCACUUAACUAUUCCAUGAUUCUAUUCUGUCUUUCUAAGGGGUUAAAGGAUAAGUAUAGUUGGAAUCGAGAAAGUUCCGGGGAGUUCAUAAUUGCAUUGCAUAAAAGGAGGAUAAGUAGUGGCUGCGGCGCGUCGAGGCACUUCUUCGACGGUCCCCGUCCGCCCUAGGCCCGUAAGGCCGAUCUUUUAGGGCCCAUCUCUAUCUCCCUCUAUCCCAGAAAAGUACUCUAUACUAUAAGAAAGAAGGACAGCUCAGUUCUAUCUAUGAGGUAAAGAUACCUGAUGAAGGCAGAACAUCUAGCUAGAUAAUAGGUUUCCGGGCAGAGCAGCUCGAGGAGGGGCUUCUAUCUCUAUUGAUCGAGCUUAAGUAUAUAGGGGAAAUUGAUGUAUUCCGGGUAGGGUAAAAGGCAGUCAAGUGCUACCGCCGGCUAACCUAGGUAGUGAGCUAUUUAUAGGGAAGGAGUUAUCGAGCGGAUCGAGAACACGGUCUACCAGGGAUAACUCAUUAGCUCAAAAAGUCAUUAGCUAGAUAAGAUAGAAAUACCUUAUGGAGCGUAAGCAUUGGAUAUAAGCGACUCCUAGCAUACCUCAAAAGUGCAGUAGGAUUGUUCUGUGCAUACCUCAAAAGUGCAGUAGGAUUGUUCUGUACGUGGACCAGAUGUAUAAGAACUGGUAAGGCGAUCUCGUCUCCCGAACACCCAUGCUAAUACUGUGUAUGAUAUAGCCCAUUGAAAGCAACUCGGCCACGAUUUUGUCUAUCUAAUCCUGAAUUCGGCUUCCGGUAUGGAUCCGCUAUAAGUAAGAGCGGGAGGACCUUACAACAAUUCAAUGACAUGGUCCUUUGCCUGUUCGGUGGCAAUCCAUUAGGUAGUUUCACUGAAUCCAAAUUCCUAUUUGUGGACUAGCUUUAGUAUUGCUUCUGGUUUAUCCACCCUUCUCUCAGUACUAACAUCUAUGGCCAAUGCCUAUACAUCUUGUCUAAAAUUGUUACUCUGGUACCGCUUCUCGAUCGUGUGAGCAUAGAGAAUUGGAAUUGAAGUGGGUUGGUGGCCCCGUGAUAACCUUCGCAUCCCGAUAGAAAUAGGCUCUUAGCACCUUCAUUUGGAAGGUGACGUCACCCGCAUUCGGCACCCCUGCCCAUAUCACUACAAGAUUGACUCUUCUCAUCAGGAAGGCACGGGAUCGCCAUAUUGGAAAUUGUUGAAAAGCAAGCUGCUGCCCAAGGGGUCCAAAAGUACGCUAUUUGAAGGGUUAAGGCAAUCCUUAUCCCCCAGUAUUUCCUCCCAGGUCGGUGGUGUGGGACUAGUGCAAUCAUUCCCUUCGUUACAGCUCCUUAUUCUUCUUCAUCACCAGGAGUUGAUUCAAUUGCUAAGAAGCCAUUUCCUCAAAGAGCAGGAGUUGAUUCAAUUGCUAAGAAGCCAUUUCCUCAAAGAGUUUCUUCUUUAAGAACAACCAUGGCAUUCGAUGCUUAUUAUAGGGAUGCUUAUUAUAGGAUUCUAAUAUGGAUAACUCACUAUCAACAGGAAAGGGGCAUAUUGUUGGACUAAAGGUGGCAUACUAUUCUAUACGAUGAAUGUGCUGCUAGGAUAUACUUCUGCACUUGAGAACUUAAGCUAGCUGACUGGUACUUGCUUUCCACCCUUGGACUGCUAUCCUUGGCAUGCGUGCUACUGGCCUGGCCCGCCUACGGAACUCCUACUGUCCAGCAACCAAGCAUUCUCUCUAACAAAGUGAGACUGCCUCUUACGAGUGGGUAACCCACCUUCUAAACCAUGCCCCACUAGACUUUAGCCCACUUUGCACUCUGAGUUUUCGUAUCAUCUCAUUGGACUUAUUUCAAACUAACUCGUUACACUCGCACCUGAUUACACGGGAACGAAGAAAACGACACGGGGAGCACGCUUUCACCUGCAAGAACAGAGGGCCCAGACCAACCAAAGACAGAUGGAAUCACAAUACCCAGAAAAAUGAAGUAAGGUAACGAGCCACAGUUGCGACUAAACGAUUGGAAACAUAGCCAGGCAAACAUCAACUAUGAACCCGCAUCGAAGAAUCAACACUCUAUUCAAAUCCAAAAAACAGAAAUCCAAAAUAUCCGAUAUACUCCUGACGCAAGAAAUCCAAAAUAUCCGAUAUACUCCUGACGCACGCGCAAGACGCCAACAAUCAGCUGAAGCAUCAACAAUGUCCCCAUCCAACGAAAAGAAAAUAGAACAUCAAAGAAUAUACUUAAACCCAGAGAGGUCUGCAAGUGGACCAUAUGACCAGUAGGAUUCAUACAUACCAUCAAAAUGCAGAUUAAUGAAUAAGAUAUAUGCAGAUUUCUAGUAUCAAAUGCCCUUGAUUCGCGAGAACCAAUCCGAGAUUUCAAACGCUUUGCUUUCUUUGAUUCUGCAUUCUUGAUUCUAUCUUUUUACGGUGAAUCAAGGCUGACUACUGGAAGAGUGGAUUGAGCCAAUAGAACUUUCUACCGGAAGAGUGGAUUGAGCCAAUAGAACUUUCUACUGCAACUCAAACUAUAGCCGUUGCCACCUUAUGAGAGCCCCUUCACUGAAAGGGAGGUAACCUUCGCAACACUCGCCAUUGGGCAACCUCCGGGCGGGUAUCGGCUUGUUCCAUUCUGAUGUUCUUUUUGUUAUCUAUGAUAUAUCGUGAUCAAAGCAUAAAAUCUCUACUAAUCCAAAAAUAGAAGAAAAAGGAAGACAAACGAGGAGCAUAUUCAAAACUGACAACCGGUAGCUAGCUUCUCUUAUAGCUCUUCCUUUAGCAGCCAGACAGAUGUUACCUUCAGAGUGCGUUAGUUCAGAUAAGGCAAGGUUAGCGCUGCUGUUGGUUGGGGUGCAAACUCGUAGCUUACGUUGGUUGUCUAAAUCCGCCUCUUCUUCUUCUGUCUUUCGCAACGCCCCUUCCUCUUGUUCUCUGGAUGCUUUCCCCGACGCUAUAGGGGUCUUUCUUUGCUACUCGCUUUCGAAGGAUCUUCCUUAACAUUUCUCAUUCUGGCCAUAGACUUAUUCUUUGGGGCUGGGUUAUUGUUUCAUCCCUUGUAGGUAGUCGGAUAGUAGUAGCUUAUCUCAAUGGAUAGUCCAGCGUCUUAUCUAGACCGCAGGCAGCCUUAGCUAGAUCCACUGUAACAUUGGGUGCAAGUCCUGCCUUGAACGAAGAGGAACAGAGACUCCUUUGGAUGGGGGACGUUCGGAUCUUGGCCUUUCCUAUCUGCUAACAACCUCCUUUCUAGGUUUGAAACCACUCGUUGUGCGGCUCUAGGCAUCCUGAGCUGACAGCACUUCGAAAGGCCUCGCUUAAUUAAUGGGCUUCUCAUCGUACUUACUUCUUUGUUAUGUUAAGGUGAUUGUUAUUUGUUGGAUGGGUAUGGCUUAUUCUUAGAGGAUAACUUAAUGCAUUUGUCAUGAGUAGCACGCGCCCGCCCUAUACUAAGAUUAGGUACGCAAGACAGACAUCGUCAGCCUAGCCCUGAUGCAUUGGUUUUCUCAAGCUGUCUCAUUCAUUCCAUUUAUUCAGCUGCUUUUAUCUCAUUCGUGGCUUGGUUUUUGUGGACAGGAAGGGAAAGUGCCAGCUGACAUCCGGAGCUCUACAACUACCUGUGUUGCCUUUUCAGUAUGGUUCUGGAUACUAGCAUUCUGUUGAGCGAGAUUGUGAUUGUCUUCCCUAAAGUCACUCCCCUUAGAGUCGAAUGGUCUCGAAAUAGGCUUCAAGAAUAAGCUCCAUUUAGUAGGUAUAUUAUCCAUGGAUAGAUCUUACUGGUAAGCUCAGUCAUUGGCUUUCACUGGGCGUUUGUUAUAUGCCAACGGAUGUCGCCAACAACCCGGGCUUUGCCCACUUUCGUAAGGCUUAUUACCUUUGUUACUUUCAUCGGUACAUAUAAUAAAUAGAAUAUAGUCUCUUUGGGCUAUGCAUUCUGUAGGGUAUUGGCGUUGUGGUACACUAGUCCUGUCGUACGCCUAAUUCGUUUAGUGGGGAGACCUAUAGAGUAAGGUAAGGCGCGGUCAGCCAGCUCUUCCGGUUGCAAAGCCUGUAGAGUGUCCCUGAACGGAAGGAAGGAAAGAGACAGAGAACUCUAUCCUAGCUACCUGGGUACGGGGUGGAGUAAGACUAUUCUCAUAAUAAGCCCGGCCAAGCUACUGAAACUAUGACUGCUGAUUCUGUUGAUGACUUUGGCACUGAUCUAGCUCCUUCUUCUUUACCUACUCUGGAUAUAUCUUAUGCUUCUUCUUGAUACAAUAACAGUACUAGCACAGCAUCUGAUCUCGUCGACAAGGAGGCGGGACAAUCUGUAUACCUUGAAUAUGGUGCUCAACUCGAGAAAAGGUGCAUUAAGGUAAAGGAAGCAGCCAACCCGGAUUUCACUGUCAACUCUCAACUCCUUACACGCAGAAUGGAAUUGGACUUUUGAACUAGGAAUGUGAUCAAGCAGCUCAUUGACGAUUAGCACAACGUCUUGCCCGAACUACACUACUUUGAACUAGAGCGAGACAAGAAGAAUAGGCCGAAUCACUACAAGCUAGGGAAAGCCUUAUUUGGAUUAUUAUUCGAAAGCGGAAGCGCCAUUAUCGGUAAAGCAAGCUGUAAACCUUUAUUUCUCUAAGUAAGACCUCUGCACGCGGGCUGUAAACCAUGAACCCUUACUUGACUUUAGCCCGAGAUACUUUGAUUCUUCUGUAGCUUAGAUCCUGUUUCUUAUCCUACUGCUCGAACUUUGUCUUUUGUUACUGCUGAUUCUGGAACCGCAGCUGCUUCAAAUCCAGAUCCUGCUCCACCAGAUUGAGAGGCGGGCUCAACUAAUACAACAUUUUCUCUGGAGAGUGCAUGUAUAUAAAAGAGUCAUAUUACCCACCUAUAUCUAUACUCAACGAACGAUACCACAUUCCUUCCCUUCUGCUAAAACAUCUUCUGCCCCUUCCUAUCUCCUUUACCGUAGAAGUAGCUUGUCCGUUGUUGGUUCAGAAAGCAAUGUAAGCAAUAAUAAGUAGAAGCUCUUUGUAAGUAAUGAGUUGGGGGAUGCCAGAAUUCCCAUCUUAAUGCAGCGGGCAAAUCGACAAGCGAAUAAGAAAGAAAGUCAAGGGCUUACAGUAGCUGAGUUCCAGAAGCCGAAUCUAAUGCUUACUUACAGAGCAGUAAAGUCUCCACUCCUGGCAAAAUACGGACUUGCUCAUAACUCUAGAACAGUUUCAUCUCCAGUUUCGUCAACAAGUAUAGUGGAAACUUACCUUCCCGCCCCGUACGCCACUGUUAUUUGACCUGUUCCGAGAGACUUUCCAGUGCGAGGAGUGUGUCUAGAUCGGACCCGCACAUGCAUGGUUGGUGAAGAGCACAGCACUCGGUUAGUUAGUUAGUUAAGUUACCUGCGGAAAUUAUACCUAGCGCAUGAUUCAUACCUAGCUCAGGCUUCUGUUUCUUACCUUGGAUCAAUAGUAAUAGGUGGAUCUGCUUUAACAGCUUGGAUCUGGAUCUGUAGAAUCUGUCUUUGUUGGCGACUCUCUAAUUUCAUUAUGACUUUCCUACUUGAGAGCACGAGCACUCCUUCCUUUAAGAAUAGAGUUUACUGGUAAAGAAAUAAAGUCAAGCAAGUAAGAAUCUAAGAAUGCUGUUUCAGAGUUCAAGUGUGUUUUCACCUCCUGGUAGUAAAGAUGAACUCCAGGUAUGCCUGCUUGGCUUGGCCCCUACGAAAAGAUGUCAUUUACAAGUCCUGUGCACCUGCAUUUGAUUCCCGAGUUCACCUGUUUUAGAGUUCAAGAAGAAUAAGAAGAUUGAUAUGAAGCAAUAGUAGGGCCUAGCAUCCACUAGGAAUCCUAUCUCCUAUAUAAAGAUAAGAUAAAGAAUUCAUUUAAUGUAAUUGCAGAAUGAAGAGCAACCAAGCAACAGUAGCAAGAAGUAGAGGAAUGAAACCAUCCAGUAAGAAUGAAAGUGAGCCAGAUAAUCCUCAUUUGGGUUUACUUGUAUAGAAGGGCGCCUCUUCGGUGCAGAAUAACUGGUUCGAGUGUUGAAUCGAGAUCGGAAGCGGUCUUUAGAAGGAUAAGAAGCCCUUAAUUAGGAUUCCGGGCCAAGCUUAGUAGUUAGUUGUGCUAAGGAGCCCCACUGUUCUUUAAGUAAUAGGACCAUAAUAAAUAACUUGCUAGCGCAUCUAGUAGAAGACUCAGAAAUGAACUCACUCGUCUUAUAGCUCGGCAGUUCUCUAGUCUAGGCGCCAUAAACUGACUAUAAGGGCCUCGCCACUGAUUUCAUUGGGUGCGAAGGAAGGCUAGACAGUUCCAUUUCUAUUUAUUUCUCAUAGCAAGCUUAGGCCAAUAGGCAAGCAACCACUAAGUAGUACUCUCAAUCUGGUGUUAAAGCCUUUCAUCCGAGUCUCCCAGAGAAGUAUCCGGGUGCAUAGUUGACUUUCCAAUUCAUUAAGGUCACUGCCGCGUAACCAGUAAUUAAGGGCACCGAAUACAAGUGAGAAGUUCGGUAGUUAUAUAUAAUUAAGAAAAGUGAGAAGUUUGGGAUCUAUAUCAAUAGCUACAGGGUGAGAGCAAAGGUAGUGAAAGAAUCACAAAGGCAAGAUACGGUCUUCAAACCAAUAAGUAAGGCCCCGGAUCAGUGUUUAGAGAAUAAGAGGCGAAUCGGAGACAGGAGAGAUCGUUUUCAAAUAAGUAUACGCUUGGUGGCAUACGAGAAUGGACUUACCCCCUAUUGGAUCGAACUACCAAUUCGGUAUAAGAGAAUUGCACCGAUGCUAACAAGGCUUUCACUUAUAAGGUAUUGCAUAUUUCCCCCAAGUAACCAGAAUCAACCCAAAACAGAUGAGACUUUCUCUAAGAAAUAAGGCUUUCACUCCUUCAGCGCCAACCCUCCCCGAGUUCUUUCUUUCUUUGCCAACCAAAACUAUAUCCUUUGAUUUCUUUGCCCAACAACCUAGUAUGCGCUCCCCCUCUCGCAAACCCAUAUAGUAGUGCUAGUGUUGUGUCUCUCAGUGUAUAAGAAUUGAAGACAGAAGUCAGAAUGAAACGAAAAAGUAGAAAACUACGAAUUCCGCUACAAAGUAAGUAUGCAUCGGUACCCUCUCUAGCUUUUCAUCUAAAGUCAGAAAAAAAGACCCACCAGCAAUAUAUCCUGGCUAUCGGCCUUACCUUCCUUUAUCUCUUUCUGGAGCUACUGAGUGAGUUGACUUAUUUAUUCUUCUUGCGUAUUCCGUUAACUUAGUUUAAUACAAUAAUUCAUUAACUUAUAUUAGCUAUUAGCAUGUGUUUUAUUGUUUUCAUAUGAUAUAUACAUGUGUUUUCUUGUUUUAGUGCAAGGAACCAGCAAUCGAUUCUUCAAGAUAUAAGCCAUGCGAAAGGCUGCAGAGCUUUACUCUUCCUUAAGAGUCUGAAGUGGGCUGGGUGUUUACUCAAUGUUAUAAGCGGGAAAGAAAGAAACCCAUAUUUCGUAAAGUUGAAGCUCUGUUAACGACUCUUAUGGUUACCUACACCGAGCGCUUAACUCCUUGUUCUCUGGUUGCGAUAUUCGAUUUGAAGUAAAGAUCCGGAUCUUGGAAAGUCAUCCGAUCCCCCUUUCCUUAUAAACUAAAGAAGAAAACCGGAACUACUAUAUCUUAUCUACGGAAGAGAGAAAACCAGCUUCCAAUUGAAUUCUAAUAGGAUUUCACAAGGGAUAUGGAAAGUAUAUACCUAGUGUUCGCCUCCUCUGGCUAAUUCUUCUGUUUCUUCCGAUCCGAUCCUUUACUUCUUGAUCCGAUCCUGUACUUCUUUACUUAUAGCUUAGCAACCUCUCCUCAAGCUACUACUACUGGGCUGGGCUCGCUGACCAAAGAAUGCAACUAUCAACUCUAAACUCAACUUUCCACUAAACCUCUAUCCUCUACCUAAGUCAACUAAUUCUUCUUUCUGAACUUUAAGUAGAGCUCGGGGCGGAGGAAGAGACAAGAAACUAUGCCAUGUUUUAUAGGCUUUCAAUGCAUUCUUUCUCAUCGCAACCCAAGAUGUUUUUCAUUGGAUUUCCCAUAAUACUAAAUAAGUGCUGUGAUAGUGCAUUUCUUCUUAAUCAAAUAGACCCUUCUUUGCCCUUUAAUCAUGUCAUACGCCUAAGAGAGCUUCUAAUUCAUUUAAAGCCUAGUUGAGCUCCCCCAAACAGGACUUAGUAAUGACUUGUAAUAUCUUAGUUUUGACUCAAUGAAAUAUUUUGGAUAGCUAUAUUCUCUUUUGAAAGCAACGGAACAAAUAAACAAUGCCGCAAGAAACCCAUGACCAUAAAACGACUUAUAACUGUGGUCCACAGAAUGGUGUCCACUUGGUUCUGUUGUACUUACAAUAGUUUUUGAGUUAGAGUUAGGUUACCACGGAGUGGGUCAGUUCUUAUUUGGAUUCUUACAUGAUUUAUAUGAUUACACUAGAGAACAGUUCCACUAUUCCGAGCCUACUUACUAUGUCAAAGAGCACUACUAGGCUAGAUCCACCUUCUUUCUAUACUGAACGACGCUUCCAUUGGAGAUGAACUACAGCACCGAUAACGCUUAUUGAACAAGCAAGCGCACCUUACCGGACUCUUUUCUUCAAAAAGCAGGGAGUUAGUUUAUUACCGGACUCUUUUCUGAAAGCAACAUAAAAUGCAGUUAGGUAUCAACGGCGCAAGUCCUGUUUACUGCGUUAGUGAGCUGGUUGAUGCUAGUUAGCGAGUUGAUCAAAGUGCUAUAGGAGUUCUACUGGGGUCUCAAGUUAGGUAGAAAGUCAAGUGGAGUAGCCUGUUGCUCAAGAAAAGAAGUCGAAAGUCGAAGAUAUUGUUAUUGCGCUUGAAGGAAAGUAGAAAGUAGCAAGUAACGUUGAAAGAAAGGAGUUGAGCUCGCCAAAGCCUAAGUGCCUUAGUGCAUUAGUCAAUUCAAGCUUUCACCGACGCUUAGUUCUUAAAGGAAAUAAUGCUCUUUAUUAGUUUUUCAUUACUUAUAUAUGGUGGGCGAUAUUCUCUUCUUAUAGCCAUGAUAGCGAAAUUCUUUUCAACAAGCAGUUUUGUGCGCGUUAGCCCACUUUCAGAGGAGCUCCGUUAGCGACUAUCGUUUGUUUGGAGUUAUCGACUAUAGAGCCUUUGUGAGCUUUGGAAGAAAGGAGGCAAUGCUGCUGUUUGUUUAGAUUAGAGUGACAGUGCCUCUUUCUAGUGUUGGAUGAUGAAGCUUACUAGAAAUAUGAUUGGAUUUAAGCAACAGGUAGAUCGCCCUUUAAGCAACAGGUAGAUAAAAAGCUCUUGUGCGUGCGGAAACGAGUUGAGUUUCGAAAGCUCUUGUCUUGCGCACCGGGCGUUGAACCGCUCGUGAGCAACAGUAGGACUCGACUGACUUGCGUCUAGGAAAGGAUGGAGGGUUGGUGCUCUAGCUCUAGGUCGGGCAUAUUUAUGAAGUGAGUAUUUACAUGCUUUCUUUGCAAGGAGAGGAUAGAGGUUCAGAGUAUAGAUCAUCUCUUUCUGAAUGAAUACCCACCGGAGCGAGCGCUUAAGGCGUCAGUGAGCUCCCCUACUUACUUAAUGCGGAUAACUGAUCUAAACCCAGUAGAGUAAGUGGGAAAGAAUACAGUAGAUGUUGGGGUCGGAUGCUGUUGACUAUGUUGUGGAUAAUUUCCUGUUUUGGUUAGUUAUCCUAAUCUAUUAGAAAAACCCUUCUGGCAAAUGAUUAUGUUUCUUACCUUGCAACUGCUCCACCAGCUUCCUUUCUAACUGCUGCAUCUGUUGACACGAUUGUUGAAUGAGAUUGAUUGAACUAAUUGAACUGACGGACGGAAGCUUCCAUAUUGAAGGUGCUGAAAGCCUAAACCUAAUUAAUUGGAUACUUACCUUCCCUUCCUGCCUAACCUGCUCCAACUCAAUAUACAUCAUUGCAAACUAGAAUAUUUCCUGGACCCCUGAUAUACCCGCUUAGACCCGAAUUGAAGACCUACAUUGAGGACCGCCCAAUGCUUCUAAUGCUUCGUACAGUUGGGCCAGUGAGAAGGUAAACUCGCUUAAAAGAGAUGGGUAGCUGCCCUGAGCGAGUCCAGUUGUAACCGGAGCGAGUCCUGGUCCUGUGUGACUUGAAUCUUUCUUUUCUUUGUUGGUUGGACACUCGUGCUUGUGUUAUCUUUGACUUAUAAUCAAAAAGAGAAAGAGCAAUUAGUCAGAAGCAUCCGAUAAAUACAGAUCCAUCCUCUAUUGUUGUUGGGCAAAACAAGAAUCUAGUUUAGGUGCACAUAAGCUUACUUCUUGGGGCAAUACUAAAAUGGAGUUCGGGAUGCGCUUACGGGAGCUCGAUAAGAAAUGAAUUCCUAGUUUACUUAAGACAGGACAGGCCAGUACCAACAAGUUAUUAUACGUAUAGGGUGCGCCUACAGUUACUGCCAUAAGUAUGACUCUCCUCAGGUUUCAGAUCUUUAUUACUCUAAGGUCUAUCUUUAUGUCCCAUCUCAAUAAGCCGUCCGCAAGUGAAAGAAAGUCAGGAGCCCCAUUAAGUAUAUAGUCAAAGUCCCAACCUAAUACGCUUAAACAAGAUACUUACCUCCCUCACACUGCAUUUGCUCUUGUCGACUUUCCGAGCACCGCUUCUGAGCCUGUCACUUCUGAAACCAAUUCUUAAAGAGGAGACGAUACACCUGAACAAUACUUUUCUCUGGAACAAGGCUUUGCACAGAUCAAUCCUCUGACUCAAGUUACCCACUUUCCUCUGGCUGAGGGUGUUGACUCUAAGUCAGGAUAGUUUGGAGCUGUACCCGGAGUCGGAGAUGGAGAAGUUAGAGAGCCGGAUACGAAGAUGGAUAAGCAGUAAGUAUAUGUAGAUACGGAGAUAUAGAUAAGGAGUCAGUCUCAAUAGUCUGAGAUGGAGAAUCCACUGUGCCUAACAACGUUGCUUGUAGUUUUGUUGGCUUAGUUGUUCGUCGGAUCAGGUUCAGGUGAGGGAUUGGCUUUCAAAGCAAUAAAACACGCUCGGAUUGAUUUCUUUCCUUCCAACUUUACACCACCGGAGAAAGCAUCUGAUCGAAUUGACUGAACAUCUUCUGCUCGAACGAAACUUCCCGGACACAGGGCUUAACCGAAGAGAUGGGCAAGGAAGGGAGUUCAAAAGGCAGAUAUGAAGUAUCCAAAAAUGCCGUAGAACAGCCUUUCGGGAGGCAAGAUAACGCGUAAGCCAUAAGAGUCGUGGAACAGAGGUUAUAAACUAUAAAUGGGGGGGGCGUUCAAGCAGGGCCCUUAUAGUAAGUUGAAGAAAAGAAUCUUAGAAUACUGGCGAUGGCUUUGAAACGCUAAGUCAAUCAGUACAUUAAUAUACCCCUUAGUUUGUUUUAGAAGUGUGUGUGUUGCUAUUUGCAUUUCAUCCAUAGAGAUAGGUGUGAGUGUUGAAUCAGGCAAGCUCCACUCGUACUCAACCACUUCUUCUUAUUGCCCAGCGUGCAACGGAACCAUAAAGAUUAGAGUCGUUAGCGAGCCGGGAACCACUUAACCUCUUCCUGGUUCUAUAUAGGAUAUAGGAUGAAAGUGAAACCUCGUAGACUCACACAAGAACAGAAACAGAGCAAACUGGCAAUGUAGUGGGCUUCUCUACGAUGACACUCUACUUGAAGAACCGCUCCGUGGUCAAUCAAUAGUACUUACCUUGGUCAAUCAAUAGUAUAAGAAUACCCUGGUCAAUCAGAAUACCUUGGUCAAUCAAUAGUACCUGAAUAGCCAGCCUGGUCAAUCAAUAGUACCUAAAUCCGAACCCGCUGCUUCUGCAGACACUGCACUAGCCCCGAUAACUCCAAUAAGGCGUUAGCACCAUGAAACAAACAAGCGUUGCGCGUUAGAAAUAGUAUGUUUACGCGUCGGGAGUUCAUUGAAGCUGCUGUUUGCUUCUUUCGCUCGCGUUAGGGAACUUGAAAAGACAUGUUUGCUCUAACUCAACUCUACUGAAGUACAGAAGCCAUAGCUUGUUGUGAUGUUUACUUUGAAAGCCGUUGCUUGCUGAAUGGAGUUAGGAACCCUUAACCCAUGAGGACAGAGGCAUAGUUUCGAGAAGAAAGAGGGAUGUUGUAAGGUGUACCCACUUAUUAGAGUAUAGCAGAGAGUAUAGAGGAGUUAGAGUAUAUCGAUAGUAUAGAGGAGAGUUCACCUAUUUAUUAGAGUAUAGAGGAGAGUUCACCUAUUAUGUGAGAAAGUCACCUUACUGUGAAACUUACUUAACUGACAUCUAGUAUAGCCUUCAAACAACUAAGCUUCGCGCUCUUUGCCAUAGACCAGAGAGAUUGGCUAGUGUUGAGGCCAUAUAGGCUAAAAAGAAAGAGGUAGGUUUGCCCUAGUGGAAAAGAAAGAGGUAGGUUUGUCCUAGUCGAUUCGUAACUUCCUACCGGGGCCUAGUGCUUGCUAAAGGAGUAUUCAAUGCGCCCUCCUUGCUAAACUCAAAUCAAAAGGAAUGCUUACCGCCCUGCCUUGCUAAAGGAAUGCUUACCGUCCUGCUUGCUAAAGGAAUGCUUACCGUCCUGGGAGUAGAGACGGAGCGGGAAAACAGUCUCUAUUGAGUGCGCCUUAUACUUAGCAUUGUCUAUUUAUGGGCUUUCCUGUAUACGAGUUUCGUUCUUGUGCUUACGCUUACUUCUACUUUUGCCUUAGCCUUGUGCUUACGCUUACUUCUUGGGUGCAUUAGGAGUUUUCUGACUUUAUUCCAUUAUUGGGUGCAUUAGGAGUUUUCUGACUUUAUUCCAUUAUGGGUGUGCUAAGAGCAUUCCAUUAUUGGUGUGGAUAGAGCUCAAUUCUUUUCUGAUUGCCAACGCGCUAACGCAACACUCAAACCUGUGCAAGAGCAGCAAAGCAAACAAACAACGGAAAAAGCUUUGUAUAAUGGAGCGUUAGUAUUAGAAGCGCUUACGUGAGUUCUGACUCAGGCCUCCUCUCUUUAUCCUUUACCUGAAACGUAUUAUGCUCUGGUAGCUUCAACGACUACUGUACUUGAUUAAUUCCCAGAAACAUCAUUUCCUAGCACAGCUUCUACUCUGGCUUCUGAAACUCUAACUUGACUUUCGAACUGCAUCUUUAGACUGGACUUCAGCAGUUUCCAAUGAUCUUCUUAAUUCCAUUGACAUAGGAUUCUCAUCGCGAACACUGUAAACAACACUCGCUCGCCCUCUUGCUGCUGCCCUUGAUACCCUGACUUAUUCUUAUGAAACUGCUUUGUUACCGUUCCGCUGACUUGAUACUGAAUUAGGCAACCAUGUAGCUGACUUUCUACCCGUUGCACUAUCACUUAUUGACCCAUGGAGCAGUAGUACUAGAGUGAGUGGAGAACAAGCUUAGAAAUCUACAUGUGGUAGAGUUAAGUUCGGAACAAGCCUAUAGCGAGAGCUUGAUGUUUAGGCGCUUAAGGCAAUAAGUACGUUAGUAUAGCCUACUACACGGGAUCGGGUAAGAGUAAACCACCCCUCACAGGAAGAGAACUCCACUUCUGUUCAAGCGUAAGUCAGUAGUAGAGGAAGAAGAAAGUACUGGUUUAGUGGAAGCUUUAUUUGAUGGCAGCUAGAUUAGAUGGCUCUUUUGCCGUAGCCGGGUUAAGUCAAGAUUGAUUGAAGGGCUAUGAUGGAAUUGAUUGAAGUAAUCGUUUUGCCAGUCAAUUCGUCUUCGGUACGGACAAUGCCGGAUGGAUGAACUUUCAAGGUCUCAACGAGACAAGCACUAAAUGGAAUUGAUAGAGGUGCGUUGCAAGAGCAAGGUCUCCCAUUCAUUCCAGUUGAUUGAUGUACUCGCCGUGUUUUGAUCGAUGGUUCACGGCCCGGGCGAACAAAACACAGAAUGACAGGGGGCGGCCCGCGGUCGAGAGCGAAAGCCCUCUCAAACCUUAUUCAUUUGUUUAGGGCUAGUUGGUGUCCUUCUUCCGGUCUUUGAGGCUUUCAGCACCUUUCUUUCUUUCCUUCUUUACCUAUUUAUGACUCUGAUCCUCCACCCGCCAAACGAUGGGAAACUGAAACAUGAGCUUCAAUCCUUCGCGGGCGAUAUAAGAUAUUAUCUUUUUGGUAUUAGAGUGGAGUGGGAGUUCCAGGUAAUGGAAUGGAGAGUCUAGUAGUUUCUGGCUGGACAAAUGGACUCUUCACGAGCCUUUAGUAUCGCGGGAGGAUGAAAUGCCCCUGAAGAGGAGAAGCAAUGAGCAAUGGAUUGUUAGAUCUUUUUUGACACCUAUGGGAGGCUGGAACUUGUCUCUUAUUCAGGGCAAACUUGAACAGUCUUUAUGCUACGUCCCUGAAAGGGCAAACUGUAUCGCAUCCAAUUUCUUUUCCUUAAACUCAUUAGUGGGCAGGAGCGACUUGCAAUUUCUCUGUUAAGUCAGAGCUUCUUUGAAAUAUGAUUUUCAACAGCAAUUGGAUGUGCCUUUCCGUUCUACCAAGAUGGAAGGACUUAUUGUGGUUGUUGUGUUGUAACCGGCUGCUUACCAAUAAUAAGAAGGGGCCAUUUGUUUCAUAUCAGAUUUGUACUUUUUCCCGAUGGUUUCAAUAGAUUGUUCAACACUGGAGCAUGUAUUCCAGCAGUGUCCUCGAGCUCAUCAGGUUUGGUUUGAUUUGUAUUCCAAGGAAAGGUGAGUUGGGCCCUAGCUCGUUCAUGGAUUGGAUUCGUUGAGGUGCCCUUAGAAGUUUGUGUUCAUAUCGGCAUUGUGGCACAUUUGGAAGUGUCGUCACUUUGUGUUUCAACCUAAGAAUGCAGUUCCCUAUGACACAUCUGCCAUGACACAUCCGCCAAGAAAGUGAAAUCCACCAAUAGGUAUCACUUCAAUGGAAAUCCUCCGUUGAGAAUCCUUCUAACCUAUCCGAUAUGUACGGUGGUUACUUAAGCAAGCCCACUGUAGAUAUCUACUCUCGCUACCGGCUCUUCACUUCCCAUAAUUCGAAUCAUUUUGGAUAUCAAGUUAGGACCCGAGAGAAUCAUUCAUGUAAUUAAUUCACUCCAUUUGCAGCCGUUUGAGAUCAACAUAUCUCUGUUGUCCAAUAGCUCUUAAUGUUGCUAACGCGUCACAUUAUACGUUACUUGUUGCGCAACUAACUACUAAGCUUGGUGGACUCGGAGGCGAGACCUGAUAAUGACUUAGCUCCUGGUGCUUCUCGUCCUUUAAUGAGUGCUUUUCAUAUUGAAUCUUAUCAUAAUCCAGAAAUCCACUAGUGUAAACAAGGGCAGCGAACGAUGGCUGCCUCUCGUACUCUAGCUUACAAUAGGGAAUCAAACCACUGCUACACUACAAAGCAUGAAAAGGGUAAGCCAAAGAGUGGGUACCAUAUCGGAGGGAAUCCAGUACUGAUUGGACUUUCACCCAGGGACGAUCUAGCACAUAUAGGUAUAAUCCAAAGUAGUAGAGCAUAGAAUCAAACGACAGACUGAAAGGACCAAUUCUGAGACUUGUGACUAUGGGUGUAAGGCUCCAGGUCGGUAGUAACAGAGUUCAAGGGCUGCUUUGUUAGUCUAGGAAAGGAAGCCUUUGUUUCGUGUUCAAGUCCUGUUGUCGGUGUUGUAUUCUGCUACUGAUGAGUCGAAGCCAGUUUUGUUUUUGUUGGGUUAUGAGAAGCACUAGCUCCAUUCUUGGAUUUUGGGUUUGUUUGUUUGAUUCUCUUACUCAGGUCUUUAUUAUAUUAGUAGAUGCUAUAGGGCGUCCCCAGAGUAACAUAACGAGAAGCUGCAGUGUAAGGAUGUUAGGCAGUGUUCGAUCCUAGUAUAAAUAUGAUAAGUCGUGGUUUCACUCUAAUAGAGGAGGGCGGCCAGCAGCUCUAUUCUUGUCAGCGGUGGAUCUCUUCUUUAUUCUAUAAUAAGCCCCAAAGUAUUGAGUUUAGGUAGCGGUGUCAGUUUGCAACAGUAUAAUGGACUGUGAGGAAGUAGUGGUAGAGUUCAAGAGACAAUGAGAAGGCUCUCACUCUAAGAUGGGUAGGUGCAAGUCAGGAGUAUAAGAGUCAAGCAGUAAAACAAGGCUCUAGGUCAAUAAGGGAAGGCUUAGCGUCUGGGGGAGCUCACAUAGGAUGCGGGUUUCUAGUUCUACUCUUGUUGGCAUUAGUAUCAGUGGAUUUCUGUAAUAAGAUAAAGUAAUCAAAGUAAGCCUAAAAGGCCGUAAAGCAAGAGUCAAAUAAAAGAAAGAGAAUCAAGUCUUAUAGGUUCAAUAAGGAUUUGAUCCAAGGGGAGGUAGGCCCAGCUCUGCAAACUAAAGAGCGAAAGGCGUUAGUGACAGACUGACUUGUUGUGUCAGGAAGGGCAGGUUCACAAUCGAUCCUAGUAGUUGUGGUUACCAGAGCAAGGGCUGCUUUUAUGCCAGUAGCUAAAGAGUCAAGUAAGGCUUAGGGGCGGUAUUGUCCGUAGUGUUUUCUUGUCUUGAUGUUAUAGAUUGGUUCUUAGAGGGCUCCCUACUGACUCUUGUGCUGCUGAGUGUUAUUCCCUAUUUAUUACUUUAGGGUGGAAUUACUUGUUUCUUUCUUCUGUCUUAGAUGCACUGGCAAUUAUGUAUUAGGGCACAGUUCUCUAUUCUUAUUCUUUUAAUUCAUGGUUAACCCUUUCAUUCUCUCUAGUAUUUGUUCGAGCCUUACAAGCAGUAGUCAGAUUCUUUUCACUAAGAAGCAAGGGCAGCUUUAGCAGCGAGCAGUACUACGAAUGAAGGUGGGCAGACUGAUCGACAUGGUAUUGAGAACGGAAGCAAGGGUAGUAUCGGAAUACUUUUCAAGGGUUUAAUAAAUAAACAGAAAAGAUAGACUUUAAUAAAGGAAAGUAAGGCUAAAGCUAGACAGAAGGAGAGGUGCAGAGAGCCUAAAGAUCAAAUCCAAGAUGGAAGGGGCAAGUACAGGCCCUAGAGUGGAGCUAAAGAGUUCAAGGCAGAGGAGCCUAUGAAUCAAAGAAGGGAAAGUCAGGCUAACAGGCAUGUGUCUAAGAGUGAAAGACAGUAGUGGCAGACCUAGGCUCAACCUACAAGGUAAUAAGGCAGGCUUUAAGCACCUGUAUUCUUUAAUUCCGAGUUUCUUUUUGAAGGCUUUCAGCACCUUACUUUGAAACUAAAACUCUUUGCUUUGAGCUUUGCUUACUUGCGAACUAACUUAUACUAUUAUUACAGUUCCUAAUCAUAAUGUCACUUAUUACAGUUCCUAAUCGUAAUGUCACUGGGUCUACCAAGACUUAAUGCUAUGCUGGAAAGAAUGGAACUAAGGCAUAUACCCUUAAACUCACUUCAAAGACCGUGCCCUAGAAGAAAGAAUUGAAACCGUCCCCCAGCAACAAGGGAUGCCACACUGCCCUAACGACUCCAACUGCUGAAGAAGAGCGACAUUAAAGCAAGAAUAUUAGACCAAGAGAGACAUUACAGCCAGGAUAUGAGAUCAGUAAGAGUGAAAUAAGAUUUUCUAUUAGUAUUUAAAUAGUAAGGUGCUGAAAGCCUAGUGGUUACUUGUCUAGUUACUUGCCUCUGACAGUUUCGUUUGGGUUUCGUUCUCUAUAGCUCGAUUCCAUAGUUCCUGUUUAGGUAGAUGCCCUCACUCAAAGUUCAUUCCUGUAGUCUCCGAUCUCCUCUUUCAUCCCGUAUACUGCCCCGAACUCCUAUGCUUAUAAAGUUAGUUCCGAUACUGACUACUCGAAGCUUGCGCCCCAGGGAAUAGGCUUCUACCAAUAUAACGGAAGUUCAAUUUGGUUUAUGCUUCUCCCUUGUCUAGCCCCAUCCUUUGACUUACUCAGUGGAGGUCUGUUACUUACGAGCGCAACUCUCACUAUUUACCACUAGGAACCUAAGAGCUCCUCCGCUCUAAUACUAUCUAGUACUAAUCGUUUUGCGCAUGAGACUAAUAGGAAUGGUCAGAAGGAGCCUAGAUCUAGUUAAACUAACCUAACCAGGGGGGAGAAUAUAGUUGACUUUAUGGCCACUCGGCAUUUAAAUAAGAAUGUAGGCGGUAUCUUCUCUGUAAGUAAUAAUAUAGUAGGCACAAUGUACUGCAGACUAAAAGCUAAUGCGCUCUGGUGGUAACGUAACCACAAGGGAACCGCUCCGUAGAGUAGGAAGUAAAGGAAUCGUAGACAGAUAAGAUAAGGAAGGGCAUAUAUAAAUUGAAAGAUCAUUAGCGAAGAAGGGGAGUCGAGUUUGGAAGUAAGGAACAGAACAGAGGAACAAGCGGAUAAGCAGAUAGUUAGUGAAUGAAAAGCUUAAUUAUAGCAUAUAUAUAUAUAUAUCAAAAGGUGGUUUCAUAACAGUAGUGUUAAAGGGAUAAUAACCUAUAUGCUAACUAAGAAAGUAGUGUCACCCAUUCUUCAACCACUGUCACUAAGACUUAAGCCAGUGCCGAGUAGGCUGAUGCGGUGUCUGCUAAGACUGAUGUGGCCCACUGCUGUAUGGGACUGCUGCUAUGGAGUUAGAGAAUGUAGCUAGUCAAUUGAAGUAAGUGAAACACAAGCCUACCCGCCAAGUCUAGUUUUCAUUGCUUAUGAGUUUCAUUCCAUUUAUACUGUCUUAUCAUUGCCACCAGCUCCGGUCCUUUCUUUGGCUGGCAGCCGCGUCAGUGAGUUACACUAGUUUCAUGAUUUGUUUACAGUGUCAGGUCAGUUGCUUGGCGGUAGCGAGUUCAACCGAUCCAUGCUUUUGACUCUGAAUUGGUGCACCCAACUACCUUACUUGCUAAUGGAUAAGGUAGUCAGAAUGCCAGGUAAUUAUCCACUCCCCGCUUCCAAGUAAGUACUUUCUUCUUCGUGAUAAGCCACCCUUUCUUUCUUUUUCUUUUCUUUCUCAGGUCUUUCAUGGUACCAGAGCUGUGACGUCAACUUCGCACACACUUUCUUUUGUCAAAAUAUCUAAUGAAAUCAAAUUGGAUUACUUAUAAGUUCGUUUUCGUAUCAUAUAGGUGAACAAGUAAGGAAUAGAAGUGGUUCGUGUUUUCUGUGUGUUCAAUCGAUGUUCCUAUGGGUGUGAAGUCUACCUUUAUCUUCCAAAGCUUUUUCUGUGUGUUCAAUCGAUAUUCCUAUGGGUGUGAAGUAGGCAAAUAACUUGUGAUGCGGCAGGAGCGGUGGAAGAGAGUUGACUUGAGCUUACUUUCUUUUGAGUUGAAUUCAAUUGUCUAGGAAAGUAGCGGAGUUAAGGAAUACAUCUAGUCUAGAAACUCCCUUCCAUGUUUGUUACUUCAAUGCCAAACUUAAUCAUUUCCCGACCCAACAAGCUUACUACUAACGGACAAUCUUCGCCUACCAUAUCUCUUUCUCUUACCCACUCUAUUGAUCCGGACUGGAUGGACUACUUCACUUCUCCUUUCCUUGAAGACUGACUCCUAUUCUGUAUAUUCCUACUUGGAGGGUGGGCAAGCAACUCAAACUUUGACACCACAACUUCUUUUGUUGUUGCAAGAGAAGAAUAGGGUACUUUCUAUCGAGCUGGCCAUAAUACAUAAUUGCUAGCGCAUUCUAAGAAAUAGUAUAAAUAGAAGGAAGGAUAGAUCUAGCGCAUCAGGUAUCAGAAUUAGGCUCCAGGUACGAUCUAGCCAAUUAAGUAAGAAAUCCAGAAUACUGUUUAUAGGAGAGGCGAGGUCGGGUAGUUCGGUGCCCUUAUUGUAAGUUUCGGAUAAUUAAGACCUUAGUGACUUGACUUGGCCCGCAUCUAGUACUUGCUUGGCAGUUUACAGAGGAGAAGUAGAUGAGCAACCACUUGAUGAGUUUACAUAGGAGUGAAAGGCUUUCCCCUGUAUCAUCCUAAAUGAAAUCCUAUAUAAAGAGAAAUAGACAAGCAACGUCGGGUCGGCACUGAAAGGAUUUGUUACCCACCAGAGCAGAGGCCUCUAUAGUCAGUUGGGAGAGCCAAGUACUGUUAGGGCAGUAGUAGUUCUCAUAUUCCCAAUCUUCCGAGAACUAUACUAGCUCAUAAGAAUAAGGGAUCCACUAACUGGUCCAGGGCAGGGCUCCUUAGCUUUGAACUCGCAUGACGGAUAUUCUUUUUCAUAGCUUCCGUAAUCUUUCUCUGUGACUCCUAGAAAACAGAAAAGGUGUUCUUUUUCACAGCAUAGGGUAUGACGGAUAUUCCAAUGAAGUGGAUAGCACUAGGUUAGUUACCAGCUUCCAUAAGACCUAGCUCAUGGGAGGCGAAAACUGGAAUAGUAGUUGGGCAUAGAACAGGACUCUAAGGUUCUUUAAGUAAAAGAGUGAUCUUGACGCUCUACCGAACGCUCUACUGACUAAGUAUAAGAAAACAUAGGAGAACUUUGACUAUCCGUAUAUAGGAAACCGGAUGAAACUAUGGAUAUGAAACAAGGGAUUCCACUCAUAAACUACAGGCUCUGCUCUGGCUCUUUGAACUAAGUCAGAUCUUUCUUCCGCUUCUGAAGUUGCUGGUCGAGGUCCAAUAGAAAGGAAAGGUUUUGUGUCAGCUGUAUUAGCUACUAAUUGAAUAGCUUCCCUUGCAUACCUCUUCGGUGUUGCCUUAUUGUAAACCUUGCAAAUCAAUGCCUAUCAUGCCCCACUCACUCUUCCUGGCCUGUGUACUUUAUUACAAUUCUUCCUAUAACUAAACGGACUUUCCCGCGCGUACUGCUCUAUACUCCAACCAUAGCCUCCUUUCUUCAAUUCCCUUAGUUUAGUGUUAUCAAUGAGAAUUCUUUAUGUGGGGCACUAGGUAUAUAAAUGAGUCAGGGUACAGCGCUUCUUCUCUUUAUUCCUCCCCUGCCUCAGAUCCUGUUUAAGAGCCAGAUCCCACAGUAAGAUAGAAUUUGGAACUAACCAAAACAGACUAUAAGGGCUCGCUAACUGCUUACUUGAUAUCCGGAUCCGGUUUCAGGACAGAACAACUUCCCUUGAAGACCAGACCCUCACUAACUUAUCCCUAACUAACUUAGCAACUCAAGACUCUCCACUUUAAGACCUAGCUCCGGUGAGGUUACCUGCUUCCAUAAGACCUAGCUAUAUAAGUAUUCCGUCGACUAUUAGACUCUAUUCUAGUUCUCUCUCUCGCCAACUACAGGAUUAGUAGUAUCGGAGUAGAAGAGAAGACCAGUCCCUUAUGAUUAUUAGUUUCAAGAAAGAGCCAAAGCAUAUACCAGACAAGAACAGUUGGACCAGACCAGAGACCUGUAGGGCUAGGAAUAAGAUUAUAAGCUGGCGAAAGAUUCAAUUAAAUAAAUGAAGUAAGAAGAAACUGAAUGAGGAGCUAGGUACAGAACAGAGAAGAUACCGCUCAGUUCACCAACUCACCAAAACACGGGGGCAAAGCAACGAGGAUUAAUAAGCGACUUAACUGCCACUAACACCUGAGAUUGACCAAACAAGUAGAGUCAUUGGCUUUUUCAUCUCGUACACCCAAGAUCAGAAGCAAGGGUACCAAGUAUAAGGUAUCUUGAAAGCCAGGAUAGAAAGCCUGUUAGUGCAGAGGUGUGACUACUCCUUUAGCUCAGAGUCUUGAUCCGAGUCAAAGUAAGCAGAUAGAGCAGAGCCAGAUCCCACCAGUAGAUGUAGAUUCCAAUCCAUUGGAAGAAAAUUCCAUAAACUAGAUAAAGUCCAAUGAAAAACAAGAGGCUGUUCACAGAGGAAAACCGGCUUUCAUUCCAAUUAUUAGCUUAUUAUAGGAUUCUAUUGACAAUAGUCCGAAAAGACACUCUAACUACCAGUAGACCAAGAUCUUAAGCCUCAGAUGGAUCCUUCUCUUGCUCCCGAACACAGCUUCCCUCCAUUCAACAACUUGACCUUACCCAUCCUUUACUAACGCGUAACAUUAAUGGAAUUGCCAAUUUCCCUUCCCCUCCGGCUAGGCACCCCGACAUGGCAAAACGGGACCCUGACCCGACUCACUCUAUCUGACUGGCCCACCUCGCCUUAAAGCCAGUACUUAACCCAGGAUCAUUAGUACUUUAAGCUUCCUCACCUGUGCUUGAACACCGCCAAGUCCCUACAAAAAUACAUAGCAAUGCUUGCCUGGUUGUGCAAAGAAUGGUUCGCUGAAGUUAGUGGUUCCGCCCUUAAGUGAAUUGGUGAUAGUGUCAUCCCGCCCAGCAAACACUAGGUUUCAUCCCGAGUUGAGUCUAUCUAUUUCAUCCCGAGUAACGUCUAGGUGCCUUCCAUCAAAACAAAAGUCUCUAUUUUGCUAUCAGCCAAGUAACUCCUAGAUAAGAUUUAUGGCCUAAACUAUCAUAUCUGCACCUCUUCUUCAAGAUAAGAAUGGAGUUUGUCAGCACUAGCUCGAGUCUUGUUAUAGCACUUAAGGAUAAGAGAUAGAGUUAGUGUAUUAAGAAUGGACCUCCCUCGUCUGCCUCUGCUCAUGCAACAAAGUAAGAUAUAAUAAUAAGAUAUAAUAUAAUAAAAGAAAUCAUUCAUUUAGUAGGGUUCGCCCUUCCAUUUAGUAGGGGCCAAGUAACUACGUCAGUUAAAAGCGUUAGUCUCCGGUUUCAUUCCGACUUUCCUACUUUAGAACCAAUGGGGAGGCUAGUUACAUCUUCUAUAUCUUCUAUUAGGGUUAGUACGAGAAAACUCUCCCUUCAUUUGCACCCGGUUCAUUUGUUUCUUUCUCUCUUUCUCACUGGCGAAUAGGCAUACUACACUUGAGAACUGAAGCAGGGGGGGUAAACAGGCCCAAGGGAGCUAUCAAUAAAGGGUUUCUAAUGCAUUUCUAGGUUCCUCAGGGGGUGCUAAAUGAAAGAUUUGACAUAAAACGAGAAAAGUGGUUAAAUAGUGCAUUCUUAACCCUAUUCUUAGUUUUUGAGUAGAAUUACAAUACGAGGGAUAGGUUUGUGUCAUUACAAUUCCUGUUUUUGGGUGUUCUCUCCUUGCUCGGUUCUCUAUUUCUUCUUAGCUUAACAAAAGAACUUCAUCUUAUCCUCUGCACCCACUCACUCCCGUUCACUCAGUUAUUCUCUUAUAAGAGUUCCCUAGCGAUACAUCUGGUGUUUUCUUAGAUAUUAUCUUAUAUUAUUUCUUCUCUUUUUAGAGUCUGAUUUCUUCUCUUUUUAGAGUCUCGUCUUAGAUAUUCUCUUCUCUUAUUUCUUCUCUUUUUCGUGUUUAGGUCUGAUCGGAACAGUUUACUAAUCCCACGGUGCAGUGCGGGCGGGGUAAGAGGCUUCUCUUCUCCUCAAGUCUAUCUAAACCAUCAAUUCAUAUUGCCAACGUUCUUUUUCACUACUCUACUUUCAAAAGGUUCUCUAUCAGCUGGAUGUCUACUAAACGAAAACGAAUCCCAUUCAAGCAAAGAUAAGAAAGACGACGCUCCUGUCCUGGCAAAGUAAGCAAGCCCCUAUGAAAGAGAGGACCCUUCAAACAUAGCCUUUCUACCCUGAGACAAAAGCCAUCAAAGCCAUUAGCAAGGGAAAGCUUAUUGUAAGCUCUCGGAACUUACUUAUGAGGAGGAGACCGCGCCCUUCUUUCUUCACCGGCUAUCGAGAAGAGAAAAUGUAGCUAACUAAGCAUAAAGCUAAUCAACUUCAAUGCAGUGGAGUAAGUAAAUAGGCAGUGAACAAACACUCAAGGGAAGAUCAUGUCACUGAAGACCAAGCCGCGAGCUAGCUCAGUUAGAACGAAAUUCGAACUAGAUGAACCAGAAUCAGAUGUGUGAUAUACAUAUAUAGAAACACUUUUGUAGUACACCAAUUUAGUACACCAAUAAGAAAGGAGAAGAAGGGAUGCUUGAUUGAACUCGGAGAAACGAGACCUGAAAGCUGCUCCAUUGAAUUUAAUGGAUUGCCAGGAGAACCCAUUGGCUGAAUGAAGGCAAAGGAGAAGGAGAGAUAGAUGCUGGAUCGUAAUGGCACUCCUCUAUAUCAGGCUUAGCACUAUACCUUUGAUUCUGACUUGUUUAUUGACUUAUUCCACUUUGUAUUCUAUUAACUUAUAUUAACACAAACAAUAUAGUAUAUUAAAUGAAAUAGCUAACUACAACUACUAGCGAGAUUGAACUAAAGCUAACAAUACUUAUGCUCUAAACUAACUCCUUCAUUACUAGAACCGAUCUGUACUUGCUCUUAGUCUCACUGCACUAAUCCCUAUUCUCUUGUGUUAGCCCGCGACUCCCCGAUCUAAUAUCUGUAUUUGUAUACAAGCUAUUGACCUCAAUGCCUAUCUCCUGUUUUAGUCCGCCCUUACUAGAUCUCAUUCACACAUGAGAGGACAUGGGAUAGAAUACGAUGUGCUCGGCAACUAAGCUAUGGGUUGAGUCUACUUUAAGCAUCUAAUCUAAGCUAUGGGUUGAGUCCACUUUAAGCAUCUAACCUCUUAAGGACUAUUGGAUUGCCUUGUAGGUCUUAUUAAUGGGGUUAUUUGGAUUCUGUUCGGGUCAAGGAGAAAGUGGAGUUCAAUCAAUAGUAGAAGAUAGAAUACUUGGAAUCCACUGCUGCUAUAGUUGUCGAUGUAGACUUGAUUCGCCCCCCAAGAGAUUCCGUAUACUAGAAGAGGUGGGCAAGGGAAGCAGUUCAGUCAUAAUUUUGGACAUAGGUAUCGGAGCCAGCAGGGUGAUCGGACUUGCAACUGGAUACCCCGGUUUGAUUCUAAUUAAUAACCUGCCGCCAUGAACACCAACGGACACAGGUUCACUCUGGACAAGACUCUGUGCUAAGCAAGACUCAGUGUGCGGGAAGUGAAUAAAGAUGAAAUGUUGCUUGCAAUGCGAGUUGACUCAGCGUAAGAAGACUCACAGUGUGCGUAAGGUCAGAAUCAAAUAAAGGUAAGGAAGCGCGUCAUGGUCCAAGCAUCAAAGUCAAGUUAUAAAGUCGAGUUCGGAAGUCAACUGCAAGCUAAAAGUAUUGUUCAAGUGAUAGGGCAGGGCGAAAGAAUGGAGAACUAGAUAGGGCGCAAUAAUUAUAGUCUUCAUCCAGAUAAGCAGGCGCUUCAACAGUGUCCUUAAUUAAUUGGCGGCAGGGAGCUUAGAGACAAGUAAAGAAGCUAGUUCAAGAAACAGAAGAAUUGGAGUGACCCACGCCCCCUAUAAUUGAUAUUGGGAACCAACCAUGUGCUUUCCACUCCCAAGUUAGAAUUGCACUUGACCGGAGGAAAGAGAAUCACUAGUUUAUUGAACAAGUAAGUAUAAGAAUUAUAAGAAGCUACUCUCUAGCGGAAUAUGAAUAGUAAUAGUAUAAGGGUACUCUCUAGCGCAUUCAAUGAUCUCGACUUCAAGUUCCGUUUUCACCUGCUCAAACCCCUUCUCCAGCUGACGCCUCUGAUCCUUAUCUUUAAACAGGAACUGGCAACUUGACUUCCGCAGUUGAUCUUCAGUCAACUAAUAAUGAUUCUCUCCCCCACCUGCCUAUAAAGAAGAAGGAAAGGAAGGUGCUAAGAGCCUAUUGUCUAUACCAGAGGUGUCACAAUUCCAUUCUUAAAGCAACUACAAACUACUAAAAUCGAGCUGCUACUGAUGAGAAUGAAAACGGGGAAUAAAGAAUCAAACUAAGGAUAACAGGACUGAAUCCUAUCCUCUACUGGAAAGAAUGCACUACUAACCGCGUAGAUAAAACGACUAUUAUAAAUAAUACAAUAGACAGGAUGUAAACUACUAAUGGAAAGAAUUGCACUAGUGUUAACAAGGGCCAAGCAACGAGCCAAGCAACAGUAAGAACGAAACCACUACUAAUAAGAAUGCAACUUCCAUUGAUCAAGCAUCCGCUCCUGUUCGAACCCUUAAACAAAGAAUGGAAUUGCCUAGGAGCAGCUCCCCCUUCGGCUAAUGAUUAUCUUUAUUGUCCUGCUGGGAGCUUAAGAGCAAACUCGCAACUACUGUAUGAGUUAUCAAAAGUGCUGUGUUCGGCGCCUCUUUAUAUAAAGUCAAGAAUGGAAUUGCCUAGAACAGUUACACCCCCGGCAGUAGUAGCAGUUGUAGUAACACCUAUCUAUGGAGUUGGGGAGUUAGGUACAAAUAUUCCAUUAGUCCUGUCUUCGUAGAUGUUUUCAGCGGUAAGACAAAGAUAAGUAAGUCUCUAACCCUUUACUUGCUUACUUACUUGCUUGCCUGGAUAGAAAGAAGAUUCGAAAGGUUUUAGUCAAAUUGGAAUUCUUUUUGACCUCGCUAUUAGCUAAAAUGGCUUUGCUAUUAAAAAUACCGUGUUUUGGUGACUUCCAGAAAGAUACUUUACUUACCUUUGCCACACUUCAGAAUUUCCCCUUGCCGCCGACCUCACUUUCAGAUCCUGGCUCUGAUCCUGCUCCUGUCCUUGUUAUACUAGUUUAUUAUAUCACUUCCUAUCUUAUUGAAUUACCUAUCUGAGAAUUCCACUCAAAACUCAUAAUUGAUGUAAAUAACACUAGAGUAACUCAGAUCUAUCAUACCAGUGCGGGGAACACAAGAAUGAUUCUGUUUCAACUGCUUCCUCACCAGCUUCUGAUCCUGCUGACACAAACUCAUUAACUAUGACUUAUUCUUAUCAAGCAUCAGAUCUUUCCACUACUGAUUGAUUCAUUCUCAUCGCCAACAACAGGCUAGGCUGCAUUCGCCUCUCUCUCCUAUGGCUACCCGGUCCUGGCACAGCUACAACCUUCUGGUCUCUUUUCUUUUCUAAGCAUUAUCCUUAAUAAUAACAGAUUGCCCACCUCUUUGGGGCAUGAAGCACUACUUGGCCUACCUCUGUUACUGGGUUACUUAUUUCUAGAAUACCUAGCUCAUGAUUCCUUUCCUACUAGCUCUGAUACCUUAGCUUAUGUACUAGAUGCACCAAGUAACUACUAAUGUGUAGCGGCAGGAGUCUUUGCCAAUGCUAUCAGUCAAGCCAAGCAACUAGACAAGUAGCGUGACAGGAGCCCCGUUUGACGAGAAAACGCAUCUUUGCAUUCAACUACGAGGGGUUAGUUUCUAUCUGCAUUUCUUUCCCUGCCAUUCUUAUUGUAUGCCGACCUCGCCUCUUUAUUUCAGAUUCUACCUUGUCUCUCUCUCUCCUCUUUAUUUCAGAUUCUACGUUUCUUUAGAGCCUACAUCUAAGCUUAGAAUAGGGAUGUCCUUUUCUAACAAAAUGCACCAAUCAUACGAGAUACUAUGGAGGAAGCCCAAAGUCUGUUACUAGGCUCUAGUCGGGCACUUAUUAUAGGUCUAGUCGGGUGCUAAGAUGUUGGUUCGGGGGCAAGCGCUUAUUCUAUCAAAAUCCUGCUUCGUUUUCUGUUCCCGAUUCAAUCUGAACCUUUCCUGAAUGAAGAAAUAGAGAGAAAGACUGUGAAAAGCAGAGAUCUUUUCGUCGAGGAAGAGUAACUGAACUAAGUAUGCAUUCGGAAGCUUUAUCGGUAAUGACACCCCCUAUUGUGAAUGAUUAUUAUAGCUUUCCAGUCUUUGCCGCUGUUGCUUGAGCCGAUUGUGCAGAUCAAGUUCCUAUUCCAUUAUGGCGGUGAGCUUUCUAGCGGACUUACUCACUUUUUCGGAAGCUUCAAAUGGUCAAAAAGAUUCAUCUCAUCUUUUUCUAUGUCUGGGGGCCACCAUUACGGUAUGAAGUGCAGUGCUUUCUUUGACCUAAGAAUGCCAUUUCUUAGUUCAUCCCUAUUUCCGAAAGAAUCUUGCUUAGAUGGUAAAGUCUGACUCUUAUCUUUCCUUACCAAGAGGUGAUUCAAUCAAUGUACUUGCUUGUAGUUUCAAAGGUAUUGGCUUUGUGUAAAAGAGAUAAGAGAGCUCUUUCCUCUUUUUGAUAUAUUCUAUAAUUCUAUGAGAAAUGGAAUUCGGGAAGGUGCUAUACCUACCCUUACCUCUCUCUAGGUAAGCAAUAACAAUGACCUUCCUCCUAUUAAGUGUCCCUAAUCAAUUACCAGACUAAGACUUUGAUGUCUAGAUCACUACCCUCUCCAACACAGUCGAGCACUUAAUCCCUUGAUCCUAACCAAAGGAAUAGGGGAUAGAAAAGAGUUGCUUGAGAUUGACCAGCAUGCACUAGCUGAUAAUGCUAAGUUAUGGAGCACUUGUCUUCUAGCGGGAACCAGUAUAACAAGUAUUCCUCAAAAGGAUUAGGCUCCGGUGUGGAUGUCAUUCAGCUGCUUAUGGCUCGCUUUCUCUUUCCAUUCCAUUUCCACCUUGUUCACAGGCGAAUCAAGCUGCUAUCAAAGCUUGUCAAUCGAUUCUUUCAUAACCUUAACUCUCCAUUGCGAGUUCUUUGACUCUAUUCCAAAGAGUAGACUGGAAGACCAUGCUUGUGCGAGCGCCUUUUCCGAAGCCUCCAAUUCUUUUCAUUUUCUUCUGCAAUACGAGAUUUUCUCUUUUUUCGGUGGUGGAGCGAGGUAGACUCGGUCUUCGAAAAAGUCAUUUCAUAUAGAAAAGAGGGAUUGAGUCUGUCUUCUCUCCUAUAUUGAUAUUGGACAAGAGAGCUCCGGUGCUAUCUUUCAUGGACGAAUCCCCUGCUUGCUUGAUAAGAAAGAAGCCGCGCUAUUGAAUCAAUCAGCUGUGAACGAAUCGGAUGUAGCAAGAAUAAGUGCUUUGUUAUUGUUCUAUCUUUUUUCUUUCUUUUUCGCCCGGUUAGCCUUUCUUUGAAAGAAUACGGGGUUAGAGCCUAAUCAAAUAUGCCCAUUUUCCAAGAAGGAGCUGCACAUGAAGCAGAGAGUCCACUUGUGGGGGGAACAAUGAAAGCCUUAGGUAUCCUCGAUGAUGCUUUGUCACCCUCGAGAAUGCUUGUACAUGCCUAUGAUGAUUCCACUAGGAAAUGAAUCCGCAAAGGUAACGGUAACAAAUAAGAAGAAGACACGAAUUGAUGUUAUGGCACAGGGAACCCAGUCCUGCUUACGCGAUGGUGUGCUUGGACAGAGGGCUAACUGGAAUCUUCUUCGACCAGAAACCUUGGAUCUACUUGCUUGAACAGAGUACUCUCCGCCUCUGUUUAUCUGUUUACGAAUGGCCCCACAGGCCUAAGCGAUGAUGGCUCCAGGCCUAAGCGAUGAUGGCUCCGGCGUUCUUGGUCAAUGAUGUCGUUCACUUCUGACCUUCCCAUUUGGACUGUCAAAGGAGGCCGUCAAAGGUCAUUUGGGGGUGGGUUUACGAGAGGGCCUUUUCCCUUACUUCUCUUUCCUUCGCUUGGUAGACGAGUCAACGAUAGAGCGAAAGAAAUGCCCAUGGAGUACGACUCGCUAGAGCUCCUGCAGCCUCCGUGCCUAGAGAGCUGCCCCCCACUGAUCAAAGGAAUGAACGAUGGUGCGGAACCCUUUCUCGCUUUUCGGAAAUCAAUACGUGUACACCUUUGUCUUAAUACCGUCUAGCCGAUAUAAUUCCCCAAAUAGGCUUUCACUAAUGAAGUAGGCUUUCGACAAUGAGAGAUGGUAAGCCUUUCUUCCUUAGAUGCCUUGAAAGUGCCUAUUCUUUCUUUCCUUAGAUGCCUUGAAAGUGCCUAUUCUUUCGAGAAAUACUUUCUAGAGUUCUUCAGAUUCUCUCAUAAAAGAAAUAAAAGAUAGUGGGAGUUAAGAUUCGGGACUAUAUACUGGCUGCUAUCUCACUCUAUAAAGUCAAAUAAUAGAUGUGUAGAGCGCGGGCAUGCUUCGUCCUGUUCCUUUGCCCGCCGAGAGUUGUUAGUGGAACGCCCCUAAUUCCAUUCCCACUGAGGGGUUUGAAAGCUAUGGCGGGAAGUCUAUUUUCUCCCCAACUAAUUACCUUCACUCAGAAUUCUUUUGACUUGACAUUCGUUAUCCCCUCGACCCCUGUAUGUAGAGGCCUUUGAAGACCACUACUAAAUACAGAGGAUCUUGAUAGAAAGUGGUGCAGGAUUUCAUAUUUGUACAUUGAGUACAGCCAGGCAGUGGAAUUUGGAUCCUUCUUGCUCUGCUCCUCACUACAGCUGUUCGUGCAUAUGACGGGACCACUCGAACUGCGCAAGGUAGAGUUUAUUGUCAUCUCCAAGUGGGACCCCUUGUUCGGUCAACUCUAUUCCAUGUAGAGCAGAUAUCCUAUAAACAUAUCCAAUGUUGCUAGCACGACCUUGGAUCCACGCCAACUUGGUUGUAGCAUCCUCAUAUCAUAUCAGUAUCAAGUUUCCCAUGAACGCGUAAUGUCUCUACCUUGAUAGCUACCCCGUAAACCCAAGCUUCAUUCAAGUUCCGUCCCUUCUUAUCGAUCCUGUAUUGAUCUACCACCAUCCUUCUCUUUUUCAUGAUCUUUGGUGGCAGCCUCCGUUUCCGUGGCAACGGCGAAGAGCGGGAAUCACCUAAAAAGAAAGAGCUUCUUCCUUUGCUACAGAUGCCUAACUUAUUCCGUCUCAUCCUCAUACUUCGGUUCUAGAGAGCUGCCAAAAAUGGAUCUUUUGCUUCUCUUCUGACGGCCAACCACACGAUUCAAGCUAUGAGGAACUCGCCAAUGACUUGGAUUUCCACCCUUGCCCGGGAACAAAUGCUUCAAGGCUUUACUUCCUUGGUCCCGAUCGGCCGUUCCGAGUAGCAGGAGAUUACCUAACUACAGGACCCGAGUGAUCUUCUGCCCAUACUUUCUUUCCUUAAUGACCUUCCAGUGGCUAGGCACCAGCCAAGCAAUGCCUUGUGCGUUCCCCAGCCAUUAGCGGUUGUAAGAGCAGAAGUAGUUUCAAGAGAAGAAUCUGCUUUAGUUUACUCGGCGCUAACAGAGCCUAAAACAGGACGGACUUGCACCAACACAAGGAAUUGCCGGUUGGCUUUCCCCUACUAGCUUUGUUCUUAGCUUUCCAGAGUGGACCUCUGCUCUUUCACUUAUUCACACACAACACUUCUUGUCCCUAGGAAGGAAGAUCAUCCAGCUCUUUUCAAAUGUCAUCGUGUAUAUAUGAGCUUAUCUCUUUUCUCUUGCUCAUCUAAACAAACAGCCCACGUAACGCUUAAGUCUCAAGUGAGCGGACCUACUUAACGCUUUGCCAGGAUAAUCAAAUAUAGAAUAAGAAGAAGCUCAAGCAUAAGCAGAAACAGCAGAUAGAUCCGGAUCCGAAUAAGACAAGCAACAUCAGUUUACUAAGAAUCAUAUGUUGGAUCAGCAGCAAGAGAAGGAAAGUAGAGUCGACAAGAUAGGAUAGGCCAAAUCAAAGGGAAUAGAGUGAGUGUCUGUACUUCAAUCUAUACUUUGUGUGACUUAUCUCAAUUCCAUUCUAACUUCAAGUCCUGAGCGUUGUUGUUAUUGAAUUCUAUCAUGUGCUGUAGGAAAGAAAAGUGUUUCAAAGGUGAAAUGGCUGGAUCAGUUGCCCCCGCCUUUGGUCUAGCCGGAUCUGCUCCAGGGAAAGCUUCCGCAUCCUUACCCCUAUAAGCUUGAACUUCACAUUCAUUCCAUACCCGACAGAGAAAUGACAGUGGGAAAAACAGAAAGAAAUCAAUCCAGAAAUCAAGAAAACUGUAGAUGUAGAAAACUGUAGAUGUAGGGUCCCGAUGUUGCUUAUAGUACUUUACUAUAGUGGAGUAUGCUUAUUUGCGCUGUUCUCUUGCUUGUUUCAUAGAGUGCACCCCAUAUAGAGUCACUUAGUAACAAAACCCCGAAAACGGACUCAUUCUAGUCAAGAACACAAGUCCAACUAGUUUGCUGGGUGAAUUGAGGCAUCUCGAGUGGGUAGUUCACUGUGCUUGUUUGCGCUUACUGAGUUUAUAGAUCCCCAGAGGACUCUACAGAUUGACUUAGCGCUUCAACGCCCUCUUCUUUAUACGACGGAGCUCAUCUUUCUUUCCCGCUUCUUUGAUACAACAACGAUUAACUGUUUCAUCUCGGCAAAGCUUAUUCUCUGGUCGACCACUACUCUACUCAAUCAAGCACUCUAACGGAACUACAUUCAAAGCUAAGCAAAGGCGAGUCCGCCAAUCAAUCAAUCCGACCUUUUGCGCUUGAUACUAUUCUUUUACGGGACCUAAUCACUAUCGUUGGUGAGUUCCUAAGCCAUCUCAUUUAUCUGAAGUGAAGCAAGCCACCUUUUCAUCUUCAUCGAGUGCCCGGACCACAAGCUCCAUAUUCCAACACCUAUAUUGGAACUACAUCUCUUUCUCCUGUUCAACUUCAAGCAGAGCGGCUAAGAAGCUUCAAAGUCCGAUACGGAAGGCAGCUAGUCAAGUAAGAAAUAUGAUUAUAUGAACUGAGCUGAUAGUCAAGUAAGAAAUCAGAUUAUAUGAACGAACGACUCUAUUACUAAGAAAUAGGAAAUAGAAGUAACACACAUAAGAUAUAAGAAAAGUCAAGUAACCGAACUCAAUAAGUCAUAAGUGCAAUAGAAGUAAUAAGUGCACAAUAUGAUAGAAAUUGAGUCAAGCUCACUCCUUACUCCUUACUCUCCUCUUUAGUUAACAUUCUAUAAUAAGGUGAACCACCCCCUUAUUUCACUCGAACGUGUUCAUUCAUAUAAGUGCAAGAUGAGAGAAUUCCUUUUAGUAAAGUUAAUACACCGAUAUUAGAUCUUCCCUAUUGUGUACUUCGUGAAUUUGCCAAUGUUGAGUUUAGCGCUUUAACCAUUCAGCCAUGGAUAAGGAAUGGAAGAAAAGCUAGCAGCGGGAGAAAGCUUUAAGGUGCUUCAGAGAUAGGGCGGUUAUAGUAAGCUGGCGAGUUAUUGUGUUGUCCUAUCUUAUCUAUAAGCUCAUCUCUUUUCGAAUGCCCCCUGAUACAUAAAUUGUUGUAUUACUUGAGUGAAUUCUUAUUGCUUGAGAUUUACCUGCAGGGCACUAUCCGUCUCAGUUAUGGAGCACUUUAGUCUUCUCGCGGGAGAACGAAGCUCAAAAGAAUUAGGCAGAGGUGUGGAUGGAUCAGGCAAUAUAUUGGCCUAAGGGGUAAGGAUCUGAUUCCAGCACUAGUAGGAUCUUUCUCAUUUAGUUAACCCAGGCGACAGACGUAGACCUUCUUUUCUCGAGAGGUCCUUUGGUUAAUCCACGGCCUCCACUUUCUUCUCCGAAUACAGGAAUGGGGUCGUUGUGGGGAUGGCACCCUUUGAUCCCCAAAUAGGCUUUCUUAUCCCCUUGAAUGUCUCUCUUUUCUUUACUGCGAAAUGCAGAAAGGUAUGGUAGGGAGCCUCUCACUGCUUAUGGCUUGCUUUCUCUCUUUUUGAAUCACUUCCUUGUUUACAGGCGAAUCAAGCUGCUAUCAAAUUGUUUAAGCACCCGAAACUCUGACUUUCUUUCGGAUUGAAUUCUUUAUUAGUUGACUAUGGUAUAGGAGCAAUACUCGAUCAGAGGCUAGAUCCGGAGCUGGCUCCUCAGCGGGAAUGAAAUGGAAUAUAAAUGCACUGAUUCUACAAAGUCAUGUAGUAACAAAAACACAGCUUACUGAAUUUAUGGAAUUGGACCGAUUUGCUUCGAUCACUUCUCGACCGGGACUUCCUCCUAUAGAUAAGAUACCUGAGAGAUAGCCUAUAGAUAAGAAGAGAUGGAUCUAUGGGCAAGGAAGCUUAUUUCUACUUCCAGGCAAGGAAAGACGAAUCUAUUGUACUACCCCAAUGGAAGGGAAAGCUUACUGAGAUACCACCGAUACCCUAUGAAAGAGAGGGCAGAGGGGAGAAAUCAAGUGUUCCCUAAAGCCAGUUCUGUGUCUCCCUAAGUAGUGCUUUCCACUCAAAACUACGCGUACUUUCUUCUUUAUCUAAGCUAACUUUCUUCUUUAUAAUAAGUGAAGUGGAAUCUAUCUCUUUAAAAUAGAUCAUAUAUAUCGUUAAAAGGAGCCUUCCCACACCAACACCAGUGGGAUCAGUAGUUUUCUACCUUCUUUCUUAGGUCGGGGCAGAGUCAAUUCCAUACAUAAAUGUGCUAUUGCGGUAAGUCAACUAUGGUACACAGGAUUAUGACAGAUUUGGACCGAUUUCUUAUGACUUUAACCUUAACCAACAAGCACCGAAUUAACCAGUAAAGCCUAACUGCUUCCCCACUUUAUACUGUCUCAACUACAAGAUCUGCAUUAGCAGUAGGAUCCUCUUCUUAGGUUCGAGUGUUGGCAAUGUAGUUAGUUUUGUCGACUCGAGUGGUUCUGCUCGAGCUUUGUCUGCAUCUGCAAGAGAGGUUCCAGUCGAGGAAAGUCUAGGUUCGGGCAAUAAUAAAGUACUGGAUUUGACUAAGCACAGAGAGUUCCAGAAGCAUAAGAAGCAGGAGCUGUUUUCAGAUCUUCAGCAGCAUAAUUGUCAAUUGAAAGUAUUGUUUCAGAAGAUGCAAGAGCAGAUGCCGUUCUAAAGUAAUCUGUGUUUGCAACUCGAUAAGAUGCCUCAGAAAGAUCAUAAGUUGGGUAAUAAUAUCUUACUAGCUUUGAUGCGGGUGAGGAAGACAGUUACUUGUCCGCUUGCAGGGCAGAGCCAUAGGUAUAGGAGCCGAGCCGGAUUAAGGUAUAGUUUACAGAGGUAUCGUAGCCCUAGGGAUAUCAUAAGAAAGGUAGAGAAUGGAGUUUACUACCCGGUAUUGAACUAGUAUUUCACUAAGGAAUAGGCCAAGCAACGUAGCUAUAAGAACAUCCCCUACUAUUAAUAAGAUAAUAUAUAAUUAUGUGUACAGUGUAUGUACUGUGGAAAUUGAAGUAGUUUAUCAUCUGAGUGUAGCUAUCUCGUAAACUCGGUAAAGCCUUUCAAAACUCAUUCCAAAAUAUUGAUGAAACCUAACCGCUGAACUAUAACAGGCUAUUCUAAGGCUUCUUCUCCUAUAACUUGAACUUUCGAAAAAAGAGUCCAAAGAGCCAGAGGAGUCAAAAGAGCUGCGCUACCACUACCAAGAAUGGUGUUUACUGAACACUUAAGGAAUCGAUAAAGUCAACAGAAAAACUACGGAAAUUGAUCCUAAACCUUUAAGAACAAAUAGGCGCCCCGAACACACAGGACAGAUUCCACUGCUCUGCUUUGAGGCGAGGUCUAGGUAAAGUACUGGCUCUGGCUCUUCUCCACUGUAAACUUGAACUGGGCAUUCACUUAGAGCUUCCAAGCAUGGAAUUUCUUCUUACCAACACCCGGAUACUUCUCUUGGAGACUCACUGUUUUCGGGAGCUCAACAAAGUAUAUAGUCAAAGUCUAGAGCAAGUCCCACUUCUUUGACAACUUUCUUUCAUUCCUACUUCUUUGUCUAAGUCUAAUGCCUAUUGGUUUCCAUCCUUUGUUAGCGAGGUAAGCCUUAUUAGUCGCAGUGAAAGCGUGAGUUCCAACCAGGAGUCUUGCCCAUAGUAGUUGACUUCCGAGUUAGCAGUGAAAGCCUUAGUUCUUAGUUUGAGCAUUGUAGUUAUUGGCUCUAUUCCUUGUUGUUGAUUUGAUUCUUUCUAAUAGUCGUUUUCAAGCCUGAGUUCAGAGUCUGAUUGGUAGCGGUUGAUUAUGCCCUAAGUGCAAUUGCUGUUAUCAGUGUUUUGACUCUUAUAGUUAAGAAUUGCCGUCUCAUAGUUAGUAGCUCAAAUCUUAUAGUUAGUAGCUGGGUGCGCUAGAUCAUAUCUGUAUUCUUUAUUCCCCAUUUCAUUCUUAUAUGAAGUAGUGUUUGGCCUUAGAGCCAGGAAAGACUAACUAACAGGCGAAUAUAGAGGAGAUCCUUAUCAGCAAUACCAGAAUCAAAGAUAGGGUAGCGAGGCAGUUAGGAAAGAGAGAUAGGUUUAGAUAUAGGGUCGUAGGCCCGAGAGCCAGUAACUACAGGAACCAAACAAGGAUUUGCAGUUGGAAAGCAAGGUUUGAUACCAGCUGUGGAGGCCCUAGUUCCGAGUUCGAGUGUUACCAGUAGUAGUGAAAGCCCUGUUUGUUGAUAUGAGUUAAAGUAUCAUAAGCACUAGUCCCAAUCUUGUAGUAGUGGGUUCCAGCCUCGACCCUAGUAGUUGUAGUUACCAAAGCAAGGAGCAGUUCACUCGUUCUGGGGUUAUUGAUUUUUGUCUUAUAGCUAUGAGUAGAAGCCUCAUUAGUAGUACCUCAUUUCAAGUGAAAGUCUCGUUGUGGCUCAUUCCUGGAGUGACUAGUUUUCAUUCUUACAAGCAUGGGUUUCAAACUCUCUGACUUCCUUAUUAGUGGGAUUCCCGCCAGUACUGAUUGAAUUCCUUUUCAUAAGAGAAAGUAUUAGAAACACUAGUUCACGUUCUUUUGAGUAUUGGUUGAAGUCCUAUAUUGUCAAUAAGGAAUGAGUGUUAAGGGAGGCAUACUAUAAUAUAAGGUAAUAAAGUAGAUAAGUCAGAAUAGCAGUUAUAGUGCAAAGAACGAUAUAAAGUAGUUGAGGCUGAAGAGCUAGCUGGAGUUUUAAGGCUAAGAAGUCAAAAAGGUGAACUAAAGUCUUGUUGACGGUGGUUUCCGGACUAGGAUAAGGUAGUGUCUGGCUCGGGAGUGAUGCAAUAAGGCUGGGUGGACAAAAGAAGAAGGCUUGGAACUGGACAUAGAGAAUAAGGCUUGGCGAAGAGGUGAGCUAUAAGGAUUGACUACCUGGUGAGUUAGGCUUGUCCCUCUUACGCGGGGGUAAGGUUUGAUUGUGUGACGAGUCAGUGUUGUUGGCAGUGUUAUCCGUCGUGAUUUCAUUCCUUCCAGUAGACGCCAAGCUUAGUUGUAAGUGUAGCUAAAGGGAGCUAAUGAGGCAAGCUACUACUCUAGUUCUGGGUUAGCAGAAUAAACAGGAUCCGUGUUCAUAAUCAAGAUAUUAAGCUUCAGAAUGGCCUGUUCCUGUUGAGUUAGAAGCUUACGGAGUUCCGUGUAUCAGAAUUCUUUGUUGCGAAUCACUUAUUUACCCACGUAGCAGUUAAGUUGAAAGAGAAUGAACCUUAGAAAUAGAAAGAUUAGAUAAGAGGGUAGUAUAGACCCACCUGGUAAUUAGCCAGAGGAUUGAGCUCCUAACACGCUUAACCUAGAUCCACUAUAAGCACAAGCAGGUAAUUUCAUGAAAUAAGAAAAGGUUUCUAGUAUAGCAUAGAAGCGGGUAGUAUUCAAUCAAGAUAAUCUUAUUCCAGUGUCGGUCGAGUCAGAAUUCUCUGCAUACGAUGGAAAUGUUGUUUCUGUUUGAAAGGAAGCUACAAUUCCAGUUGUUUAUGAAGUAGACUGUGCCGAGGAAGGCCUCUUUCUCGUCCUUGAACAUAGGGGAAACUAGUUAAUGGAAUGGCAACCCUAUUAAACAACUUAUCUGCUACACUAAUGAAUUGGAUACUAAUAUCUUAGCUUUGAAGCUCCCUAUCUUAGCUUUGAAGCUCCCGUAAGCGGUAGAGAACAGGAACUCUACUUUGAUUUCAGAAUUCUCCUUUCAUAGCUGCUUCCUUUGGCACUGCUGGCUUUCAGGCUCUUCUACGGCUUAGCCUCUCAUCUUUGCUUUCGAACUCAAACAUCAAAUUCUUCCUCACCAAGAUCCCAGAUCCAGCUUUUACGCCUAAUUGAUAGUUUUAGGCUGGAACACCAUAUCCUUGCUUCUCUUGAAACAGUUUCUUCUCCUUCUCCCGAUGCAGAAAGGAUUUGCGCAAGAGACUUUUGAUACCUAACAGUUGAUUCUGCUUACUUGGGGACAGCUUCCCUUUUGCUUUAAGAUUCCUCUCCUUAUCCUUAUGAUUCUCUAGCUUCUUUCACUUGCAACAGCUUCGGCUUUAGACUCAGAUCCAGCAUCCUCUGAUGUCUACCUUUGAAUUGAAUAUCUCUCUUAUUUAGCAUCUGGUAUAGAAUGAAAUAAAGGUGUCGAACAGAAACUGCAUUAACUCCUCGUCGACAAAGAAUUCUUCAAUAAGGUUGGAUUUCUCAUUAGCUACGUUUCCCCGCGAUGAAAAAAGGGUAUACAAAGGUCUCUGUGUUGGGCCGUUCGAGCAAGGAUCGUUGGGAGUUCGGAUAGCCUUACUGAUCUAUAAGUCAGUUAAGAAUAUCGGCACCACCAAGAGAAUUGAGAAUCUAGAAUUGAGAAUAUCAGCAUCCCCAAGAGUCAAAGAGUAAGCUAAACUCAAUCAAACAUCAAUUGUGGAACGAGAACGAACAAGCAAGGGUGCAAAGGGAAAGGCGGAAAACGGAACUCAUUGUCUCACUUACCGCUUUUUAAGGGCUGAUGAUCUCUCUUCCGCUUCUGCACUUCCAUCUUUUCCUGUUUUCCUCGGUGUACUAUAAUCAAUGAAGUCUUAGCUUACUGAUGGAGAGUCAAAUUGAUAUGAAUGAGCAAGCCGGCUAAAAGAGUUACUGUUCCAUUAUCAGCUGAAAGUAGUGGUGUUGUGUCUUUACGUCAAUCUAUACCUUCUGGCAAAAUAGAACCAAGUCCUGUUAUAAC